rnacentral:lncRNA from 1 species
GCUGAUGGGGGUGCUUCACUGGCGUGAGAAGGCCACAGACCGGGGAUAAAAUUUGUCAUAUAGUUUGUAGUGUGUGGUUUUGUUCUCGAGUUUUUCUCUUCAUUAUUGUCUCGAUUCUGCAACAGUGUAAAUUACCAAAGUGGUUCCGUCGCUGUCUUUACAAUGACUGAUUAAGCUAGCAUUGCGGAAACAUAAUGUAUGGAAUAAAUCAUCUUAUUGAGCAUGUUCUUGCACCUCUCUUUCCUGUUCUGAAGAUCACGGCUGCACCCUGAGCUGUUUAUUAAUCUGGUCUACUAAAUCGUGCUGGUACAAUUAUCAAUAUGAUCAGAGUGGUGCUACUGGCAGCUCCUUGUUAAUGUCCAUGUACUACUCCCUCCAUUCCAAAAUAGAUGACUCAACUUUGUAAAAGUUAGUAUAAUGUUGGGUCAUCUAUUUUGAAACAGAGGGAGUACUUCUGAAUCCUGAUGUGCAACUUCCCUCUCUAGCUUCAGAGAUGACCCUGCAGAUGUCUGCAGAUAUUUCCAAAUGUAUCAUGUGGUGCUUUCACUGCAGAUAUUUGCAGAUGCACACAUGUGCUUGUGCAGUUUUGCGAUUGUGACAAAGAAACUUAUUUCAGAAAGAAAGAAGUACAUCGAUCAAGAACAGAUAUCAACAACAAAAUGAAAAUGACGCUGUUAUUAAACCACUGAUGAUUUUGCUAACUAUAAAAUUGCUUAGACCAACAGUUCUCUCAGUAAUCUGUUUAAUAUAUGAUCAACUUAUCCCGCAAAUCAUCGCAGACAAUCUAAUCCUGCAAAAGGAAAAUUUCCACCAGUAAAAUGAUUUUUUCUUGUGUGGGUCAUAUUACCCUUCACUCUAGCCAUGGUAUUCUCCAGCGGAAAUAAUAAGCAAUUCAAGCAAGAAAGAUCGGAGGGCUGAUGUUAAUGGCAAGAAAUGCACAUUUGCUGCCUUGCCGCGGAAAAACUGACGUGAAUUAGCACGCUCUUAAAACAAGCAUACAAUAAGUAUGGAAGACAACGAUAUGAGAGAAGGUUACUAUUAAAUUAAAUCCUAUCUUAGGGCUUAGCCAUACAACACGUCCAAUCAUAAAAUGGAAUGUGACUCGCAUCUCACAAAAUAGUCGCAAGUCAAGAUACCACACGCCCAUGCCGUGCUGUAGCUAAUUGAGCACUUUGUUUCCAUUUUAUCUCAACAACUAGUAGCCUACAAGCUACUGUUGUCUAAUCAGACGGAGAAAGUACCUACCUGCCUUGGAAAGAUUGGAAGACGUCUGCAAUUAUAACUGUAUGCCCAUACGAUCGACAUUGAUGGCGUUGUCAGUUAGGACGGAGAAAGUUUUUCCUCUGUCAUAGUGCUCACCCAGAGAGUGUGCAGUUAGACAUCCAUACCUACACUUGGCUAAAAGAAUAAAUUCCAAAUUUCACCCCCUAAGAUUCGUGUUUGGUAAAAAUCCAUACCUACACUUGGCUAAAAGAAUAAAUUCCAAAUUUCACCCCCUAAGAUUCGUGUGUGGUAAUUUUUUUUACCCUAUUUAGCAGGAAUUGCUCAAAAAUACCCCCAUUUAGGCAAGUUUCUUCCAGGUUUUACCAUCUUUACCCGUCUCUGCCGGCAGGUCCGUUCUUUUUAAAACAAAGACGUCAGGAGCGUCUGGCUUUAACUGGAUAAAUCCCACAACAUGCAUAGUGCACAUAACGAACCGAACCAGUACGAAAAAAGGUUUUAGAAAUCCAACCAUAAUUUAUGGGGCAAUCUGCCCAAACUGAGCACGUAGGCUCGAAAACAUGCAAAAGGUGCAACUACCUUAAGAAGCAACAGGAGGGGACCUACCGAUGUUGUUGAUAUGUCGAACUCUGACCAUCACCACCUGCGGGCAAUCAGUGUCCUGCCGUCUCCCCAACGGAGCCGGCUGCUACAAAAAUAGGGUACAUUCGAAGAUGUUGUCAGCUUGGUGCGACGAGAAUACACCCUCGAUGGUAAUCUUGUUACGAAUGUGCCAAAGCGACCAAAGCAAUGCCCCGACACAUCUCCGCAUUACGUGUUUUGAAGAGCCACACAAUGAAGAUACUUGUAGGAUCGAAAGUAGGUCUAGAGGGGAGGGUGAUUAGACUACUUGACCAAUAAAAACCUAGCAUUUUUUCAAUUUUUGUUCUUCACAGAUUUUAAUAAUUCUAGCAAGUCUACUAGCACCCUAUACAUGCAAGUCUAAUAUAGUGGCAACGGAAAGUAAAGACUUUGCACAUGAAAGUAGAGAAAGGGUUUGGAGAUAAUCAAACGCAAUGAAGACACGAUGAUUUUUGGCGUGGUUCCGAUAGGUGAUGCUAUUGUACGUCCACAUUGAUGGAGAUUUCAACCCACAAAGGAUAACGGUUGAGCGAGUUCACGGAGGGCUCCACCCUCGAAGGGUCCACGAAGAAGCAACCUUGUCUAUACCAUCAUGGCUUACUACACGAUGGACUAGCCUCACUUGGGGUAGACCUUCACGAAGUAGGCGAUCUUCUUGCCCUCACAAACUCCUUGGUUCAACUCCACAAGCUUGGAGACUCCCAAGUGACAUAACCUAGGAGACACCACUCUCCAAAAGGUAAUAGAUAUUGUUGUUGACUAUGAACUCCUUGCUCUUAUGCUUCAAAAGAUAGUCUCCUUGACACUCAAACACUCUCUCACAGAUUUGGGCUAUGUGGUAGGAAAGGGACUGGAGUGGAGAGCAACUUGGGGAGGCUAGAGAUCAGGGAAGUGGAAUCAUCUUGAUCUCAACACAAGGGUAGGUGGUUCACUCCCAGAAAAUAGACAUGAGAAGUGGUAGCUUCGAACUAGUCUCUCUCUCUGAGAGUUAGUGGAAUGGGUGGGGUUAUAUAUAGGAAGCACAAAAAAUCCAACCGUUACACACCUUUAUGCACUACUCGAUGGGACCGGGUGAGAAUGCUGGUGAGACUAAUUAGUACAAAAGGUCUGAACUUUAGGAUUUUUGGUGAGACCGGAUGAAACCUCUCGGUGGGACCAAGAUGAGAUGACCUAAGCGCUUUCCACACUUUGAUGUCACCGAUUGAAACCAUUCAAAAAUUCUGAGAUGUAUGCAAUUGGUAACAGAAGGUUGGCAAGUGCUCUUCGGUGGGACCAAAGGGCCAGCUUGGUGAGACCAAUAUGCUAGGGUUUAGGCAGUGGCUAUGCCAAGUGUAUCUUGGAGAGUCCGGCUAGAUGAAUAUCGGUGGGACCAAUAUUGACUUUAGGGUGAGCAAUAUCUCUAAGCACUUGAGAUCUAGAUCAUGGUCAAAACCUCAUCCCCUUUUAAUAGUAUUGGCUUUUCUAUGGACUCAGUGUGAUCUUGGAUCACUAAACCAAAAAUUUGAACUUUUCUGAAAUAUUCUUUGAGUAGUCAUUAGUUCAAUGAUGUAUAUGUUGUUUUGAAUUACCAAAACCACCUGGGAUUAGUUGCACUUUCAAUCUUCCCCUUUUUGGUAAUUGAUGAUAACAUAUAGUUCAAAGCUUCGACAUAAGAUAUAAUCAUGAAUAACAUCAUUGCUUUGAGAAAUAUGUGAUAAGCAAGAGGUCCUCCUAAAUUUGUGCAUUAUUUAAAAUUUGCUUUGAAUGCAAAUGCACAGUCGAGGAUCGUGCGACAACUCUUUUAUGCCACAUACAUCUUGGUGGAGCGCACAAAAGAAUAUGAAUGGAAUACAACAAGAACUCAUCACCAAGACACACAUGUGGAUGACCAUGUGCUACUUGUGAGCUAUGUUGGGAUAUUCCCUGAAGAGGAAGGGUGAAGCAAUAUAGUAGCAUAGAAAUAUUUCCCUCAGUGAGAACCAAGGUUAUCAAACCAAUAGGAGAACCACGCAAAUCGUCCUAGCACCUACACACACAAAAGCAAAUACUUGCACCCAACAUGGGCAAGAGGGUUGUCAAUCCCCUUGAGCUCGUUACUUGCAAGUAUUAAAUCUGGUAGUGGUACAUAGAUAGAAGAAAAGUAAAAUAAAAGGUAUAAAAUUGCAGCAAGGUAUUUUUUGUUUUAGUAAUAUAAUUAAAGUAGACCCGGUGGCUUCUCUUUCGAAACAGUAGCAUACGGUGGGUGAACAAAUUACUUUUGGGUAAUUAAUAGAAAAGCGCAUAGUUAUGAUGUUAUUCAUGGAAAUAAUCACAUAUAUAGGCAUCACAUCCAUGAUAAGUAGGCCGACUCUUACCUGCAUCUACUACUAUUACUCCACCAAUCGACCGCUAUCCAGCAUGUAUCUAUGGUAUUAAGUUCAUAACAAACAGAUUGACACUUUAAGCAAGAUGAUAUAAUAUAGACAAAGUAAACUCAAGCAAUAUGAAUAAACCAUAUCGUUUUAUCCUUAAUGACAACAAUACAAAUACAUCCUCGCUACCCCUUCUGUCAAAGGUGAGGAGACCGCAAGAUGAACCCAUUAUAAAGCACCUCUCCCACUGAAGAUAAAUCAAUCUAGUUGGCCAAACCAAAUGAAUAGAUAGGAGAGAAAUACAAAGCUAUCAUAAUCAUGCAUAAUAAAGUUCGGAAAAGACUCAACUACUUUCAAUGAGUAAUCUGAUCAUAAACACACAAUUCAUCUGAUCCCAACAAACACACUGCAAGAGAAGAUUACAUCGGAUAGAACUCCAAGAAGAUCAAGGAGAACAUUGUAUUGAAGAUCAAAGAGAGAGAAGAAGCCAUCUAGCUACCAACUGUGGACCUGUAGGUCUAUGGUGAACAACUCACACAUUAUAGGAAGGGCGGCAAGGUUGAUGUAGAGUCCCUCCGUGAUCGAUUCACCCUCCAGCAGAGUACCGGGAAGGCCUCUAGAUGGGAUCGUGGAAGAACAGAAGCUUGCGGCGGUGGAAAAAUUGUUUCGGGUGGGUCUCUGGGGGUUUCUCAACAUUUGAGAAUUUAUAGAAGUGGAAUUAGGUCAGAAGGAGCCACAUGGGGCUCAUAAGGUAACAGGGCGCGCCCUGUUGCCUUGUUGUCUCCACGUUUGCCGUCUGGUCUCCUCCUGAAGCUUCUGGGGUCUCUUUUGUCUAAAAAAAUUGUCAAAAAAUUUCGUAGCGUUUCGACUCUGUUUGGUACUAAUUUUCUGGAAAACCAAAAACAAGUAGAAAACAGCAACGGGCACUAGGCACUGGGUUAACAGGUUAGUUCCAAAAAAUGAUAUAAAAUUGCAUAAUAAAGCAUAUAAAGUAUCCAAGAUUGAUAAUAUAAUAGCAUGAAACAAUAAAAAAUUAUAGAUACAUUGGAGACGUAUCACCAUGAUAACAUACAUAAGCAAAUGAUGGGUAGCAUGUAGGAACAAAGUAUGUCUACCAAAGGGGGUGAAUGGGAGAUUUAAAAUUUCUUUAGAAAACUUCAAAUCUCUCAGAUACAAUAGCGGAAUAACUAACAAAAUAUAAACACGAAAGGAAACUACUGAAGCAGAACUAGAGCAUGCUUCGAAGAAUAACUACAUAGUCGACAGAUAACUCACGAUGAAGAACUAAAAGUAAAUGAGGUACGGAGUUAUCCAGUGAUGCUCAAUGACGACACGGUAUUUGUGAGACCAGUUCACUCUUCUGCAAAAGAUUCACUUCUGGUUUGAGGGACUUGUGAUUAAACACAGAAUAUAAACUCGCUUUGUCCUAUUCUCCUCAACAACUGAUGCUUCAACCAAUGCCAAUUACUCAUGGUAGAUGCUUGAGGAGAUCUCCAAAGCUUCAUAGACUUCUUCUUCGUGAACCAUGGUUACUCUUAGUCACUGAAGAACUUGACACCUAACCGUCUAGAGAGUUCGCAACUCUCAAGAGUAACAGGCGGAGCGUACUUGACAUAAAGUCUAGUGAUGCUAAACUACUAUCUAGUUUUUUGGCUCUCGAGUUUUCUCUUGGUGGAUUUUAAACUCAAAUCACUCGGGAGAGGGGUUGCUCACACAGUCUUCUCGAGAUCAAACAUAGCAGCCAACUAUGCACGCUGGAAGGGGGUGGCUAUUUAUAGCCGCGGUCUUCCCAUGGGGGAAAAGACCAUUUUGGACAUAAGGACUAGCCAAUGUUCAACAAACACAUCUCCAACGGUCGGAUUUUGAGCAAUGGUAACAUUGCUUGAGGAACAAGUAAUGCUAAUUCCUUGGUCCAAAUUAAAUAUCUUGUUGCAAAGAAGAACUGUGUCUCUUGCUGGCAAGUAUUUAUUGGGAAGACAAAGAGAUUUCUCUCAACUCUCAUAGGAUUCGCUUUAGCAUCAAAGAGUCAUAAGUUUCGUACACUAUACCCCUCUUAGGAGUACGGUGGUCCUAUGACUCAAGAAAGAGAAAAAUAAUACCGAAAUAAAAUGCUACGUCUUUUUUUAGUCUUCAAACUUCUUGGUUGUAGUCAAUUUCUUCGGACAGGAACCGAACCAAUUGCUUCUCAUCGGCAAUUUUUGGGGGUUACUUUUGAUAAGCAUAAUAUUAGGUGAUAAUCCUUGCUGCUUCGCAGGAGAUUAUCUUAGGAGUAUGUUCCAAACUCCAUAUGACUUUAGGGACUUGUCACUCUAUGUGCACUAGCAAACACAUUAGUCCCACACUGUUUAUGACAACAAUCUCCAAAGCACAACGAGGCAAAUUAUUCCACCAAUAAUCUCCCCCCUUUUGAAUGAUUGUUAUAAAACAGAUAAUCGUCGAAGUAUGGAUAGAAAUGUAAAUGGUUGCAAUAGAAAGUUACAAGUGCUACUUGUCUCGGAGAAAAAAUGGACCCCCCCGGAAUGUAUGCAUGGGUAGACACAGUGAUAAUCAACUUCCUGCAUAUAUUGUGAUAAACUCUAUGGGGAGGCAUUUCAUAUCUUCGAGAAUAAUGGAUUGCACUUAAUGAUAAUUGCCAAUGUGAAGAUAUAGUACAACCAUCUGUAACUUCUGAUAAAAAUUCCACCUGCAAAACAGAUUCUUGAGAGAUGUAUAAUGUAGCAAGAAGGGUUAAUGAUAUUACAUACCAGAAGUUCAGAAAAGAAUUUUGCAACACGAUAAGAAUCAAUCGAAAGGCAAGUGUUGUAAACUCAAGAUAAAACAUAGCCAACAAAAGUCAAGCAAGUCUAUCAGUACUCGAUGUAAUUCUCCCCCUUUUGUCAACAAGUGGCAAAAAGGUGUUGAAAGUAGGAGCCACUUAGGAGGUGAAGACGAAUCUGAAGAGUUUCCUGAAGUGUCUUCACCGGAGUCACUGGAAUCAGACGUUUGUUCUUCAGAGGUGACAGGUGCUUCGAGAUUUUCUUCACCGCCUGAGGCAGAUGCUUUUGCUUUGCGAGGGAGAACUUGAGGCUAGGCAGAUGGCCAGGGCACAUCAGUGAUAGUGUUUGGAUCGACUGGAGGCACAUGAUUUCCUUCAACAGUUUUAACUGUAGGAGAGGUUGCUUUAGAUUCUUCAAGCUAUUUCUUAAGCUUGACUGAAGUAAAUUGGUUAAUGGAGCAAGAGGUGAUAGUGGAGGUGUGCAUCGCUGCUGAAGAUCUUCAACGUUGAAAUCCAAGUGAAUGUAGUCAUAGAUUUGCUUGAUGUCAGUCUUGGUGAGUUUCUUUUCAGAGAAAAACUUUUGGAGCAGUUUCCAGAGGCGCUUCUUGUUUUCAUCAGCAAUGAGAUGAAGCAAGCGAGUUGAUUGUGAAGGGCAUUGAGUUUAGUGGCCAAGUGCUCUUUUAAUUGCCAAUCUUUGGUGAUAUGCUGCAGAAGAAGUUGAUGCAUGCGCAUGCUGACUUCUCACUGAGUAGGAGGCAAAGGCUUGAACAUCCUUUCACGUUGAGGAAUAUGAGGGUCAUCAAAUGGUCAGACAUUCUGAGGGAUGGCAGCCGGUAAUUUUCCCGAGGAAUAAUCUUGGAUGACUUGCAUGGUAUCACGAACAGUAGGUAUGAAGCAUUUGUGGCUCUCCUUGUCCAGAUAGGUGGUACGCAUGUUGUGAGCAAUAACUUUCUUGAUCUAGGGCGCGAGCACCUUCAGGCUGAAUGGAAAUUGCACCAAGUCCUUGAGAAUGUUGAGAAACAUAUCUUCAACAUUGAAUAUAUAUUUCCCUGCAAUAGCAUAGAGCAUAUUCCGAAUGACAUCGCUUAUUGUUAGCGACUCGAUCGGCUGGGGAUUAGAGAUUAAUCAAAAAUCAUAUGAUUAAUUGAUUUUACUGGUUGACUAUUAGUCGGUAUUUUUUUUACAAAUCCCAGGUUUCUAGCACUAAAAUAUGUUAUAUUCAACAACAACUAAAAUAUUGGACAGAAGUGUUACCUUGAUUCCUUGCCAUUGAAUCAUUGUACAAUGACAAAAAAAAUAGGACAUAUGUACAUACUAUAUAACAAGGUCCACAAAACACAAAUAAACAUAGUUCUUGCACACAUAGUGGUAGAAAUAGGCCCGAUUUAUCGGUAUAUUCCCGAUAAAUCGCUUGUAAGAGCAAUAAAUCGAUCCAAAUGAUAAAUGGGCAUGAUAUGGAAUAAUCUUAUCGGUCACCCACCGAUUAGCGGUAAAUCUGACGAUAAAUCAUUGAAUCAAUUGAUUUUUUUAAUAGAGACGCCAGGAAUAGUGCAAUCAGUAUUGAUGCCCACAAAAGGGAAAUGGUGUAGGUGAGCAUGUGAUAGAUAGACUGAUUCUCGAAUGUCAAAUGCUCGGGAUGGGGAGGUCCAAAGUAAUCACAAAUUUUCUCAGGGUCAAUGGUGAAACAAAAUUCAUCAUCAACAAGUGCAUCAAUUCAAUGGACACUAAUUUCCUUCCGAUUGUUCUCGAACCGAGGGAAUUGAAAGUGAUACAUGAAGUCCAUCAUGGUGCACUUGAUAUGCUGACCUUCAGUCAUCCACUCCAUUACCCAAGUGGUGCUAUCCGAUUCAUCGCUAGAGAUGUAAAGUGUGGCAUAGAACUGGAAAAUGUAUUCGCGAUUCCAUGGAUGUUGAAAUUCGAAGAGCCUAGUCAGGUGAAAACCAUCGAGGUCUUGAAGGAUUUGUUGGAAGCAUCCAAGACUACGCAUGGUUGGGACAUCGAGAUAUGCAUGAGGAAGUAUCCGACGACUAUUGUACAAUGAUAUGUCUCCAACGUAUCUACUUUUCCUAACACGUUUUCUCUUGUUUUGGACUCUAGUUUGCAUGAUUUGAAUGAAACUAACCCUGGACUAACGUUGUUUUCAGCAGAACUACCAUGCUGUUGUUUUUGUGCAGAAAUAAAAGUUCUUGGAAUGGAACGAAACUUUGCGAGGAUUUUCUACAUCAAUAAUAAGAAUUUUUGGAGCCAAGACCCACCAGAGGGGGGCACCUGAGCACAACCCACCAGGGUGCGCCCCCCUCACCUGGCGCACCCAGGUGGGUUGUGCCCACCUGGUGGCCCUGCAGACCCUGAAACCAACGCUAUAAAAUCCUAUUUUUCCACAAAAAAAUCAGGGAGAAAGAAUUAUCAUGAUACACGAGACAGAGGCAUCGUCACCUACUGUUCUUCAUCGGGAGGCCAGAUCUAGAGCCCGCUCGGGGCUCCAGAGAGGGGGAUCUUCGUUCUUCGUCAUCACCAACCCUUCUCCAUCGCCAAUUCCAUGAUGCUCCCCACCGAGAGUGAGUAAUUCCUUCGUAGGCUCGCUGGUCGGUGAGGAGUUGGAUCAGAUUCAUCAUGUAAUCGAGUUAGUUUUGUUAGGUCUUGAUCCCUAGUAUCCACUAUAUUCUUAUAUUGAUGUUGCUAUGACUUUGCCAUGCUUAAUGCUUGUCACUUUGGGCCCGGGUGCCAUGAUUUCAGAUCUAAACCAUUUAUGUUAUCACCAUUAUAUCCAUGUUCUAGAUCCGAUCUUGCAAGUUAUAUUCACCUACUACGUGUUAUGAUCCGGCAACCCCAGAGUGACAAUAGCCGGGACCACUCCCGGUGAUGGCCGUAGUUUGAGGAGUUCAUGUAUUCAUCGUGUGUUAAUGCUUUGUUUCGGUUCUUUAUUAAAAUGAGGCUUUAAUAUCCCUUAGUUUCCAAUAUGGACCCCAUUGCCACGGGAGGGUAGGACAAAAGAUGUCAUGCAAGUUUUUCGAGAAGCACGUAUGGCUAUUUAUGGAAUACAUGCCUACAUUAUAUUGAUGAACUGGACCUAGUGUCGUAUCGCCCUAGGUUAUAACUGUCUCAUGAUUAAUAUCAUCCAACAAGUCACCGAUCCAAUUGUUGGAAAUAUGCCCUAGAGGCAAUAAUAAAAUGGUUAUUAUUAUAUUUCCUUCUUCAUGAUAAUUGUCUACUGUUCAUGCUAUAAUUGUGUUAUCCGGAAAUCGUAAUACAUGUGUGAAUACAUAGACCACAACACGUCCCUAGUGAGCCUCUAGUUGACUAGCUCGUUGAUCAAAACAUAGUCAUGGUUUCCUGACUAUGGACAUUAGAUGUCAUUGAUAACGGGAUCACAUCAUUAGGAGAAUGAUGUGAUGGACAAGACCCAAUCCUAAGCAUAGCUCAAAGAUCCUGUAGUUCGUUUGCUAGAGCUUUUCCGAAUGUCAAGUAUCAUUUCCUUAGACCAUGAGAUUGUGCAACUCCCGGAUACCGUAGGAGUGCUUUGGGUGUGCCAAACAUCACAGCGUAACUGGGUGACUAUAAAGGUGCACUACGGGCAUCUCCGAAAGUGUCUGUUGGGUUGGCAUGAAUCGAGACUGGGAUUUGUCACUCCGUAUGACGGAGAGGUAUCUCUGGGCCCACUCGGUAAUGCAUCAUCAUAAUGAGCUCAAUGUGACCAAGUGGUUGAUCAUGGGAUCAUGCAUUACGGUACGAGUAAAGUGACUUGCCGGUAACGAGAUUGAACGAGGUAUUGGGAUACCGACGAUCGAGUCUCGGGCUAUUGGUUAUUGACCGGAGAGUCGUCUCGGUCAUGUCUGCGUGUCUACCGAACCCGUAGGGUCUACACACUUAAGGUUCGGUGACGCUAGGGUUGUUGAGAUAUUAGUAUGCGGUAACCCAAAAUUUGUUCGGAGUCCUGGAUGAGAUCCCGGACGUCACGAGGAGUUCCGGAAUGGUCCGUAGGUGAAGAAUUGUAUAUAGGAAGUCCAGUUUCGGCCACCGGGAAAGUUUCGGGGGUCACCGGUAUUGUACCGGGACCACCGGAAGGGUCCCGGGGGUCCAUCGGGUGGGGCCACCUAUCCCGAAGGGCCCCAUGGGCUGAAGUGGGAGGGGAACCAGCCCCUGAUGGGCUGGUGCGCCCCCCUUGGGCCUCCCCCUGCGCCUAGGGUUGGAAACCCUAGGGGUGGGGGCGCCCCACUUGGCUUGGGGGGCAAGCCACCCCCUUGGCCGCCGCCCCCCAUCUAGAUGGGAUCUAGAGGGGCCGGCGCCCCCCUGGACCCCUAUAUAAAGAGGGGGGAGGGAGGGCUGCGCACCCAAGCCCCUGGCGCCUCCCUCUCCCUCCCGUGACACCUCUCCCUCUCGCUGAGCUUGGUGAAGCUCUGCCGAGAUCACCGUUGCUUCCACCACCACGCCGUCGUGCUACUGGAUCUCCAUCAACCUCUCCUUCCCCCUUGCUGGAUCAAGAAGGAGGAGACGUCUUCCCAACCGUAUGUGUGUUGAACGCGGAGGUGCCGUCCGUUCGACGCUCGGUCAUCGGUGAUUUGGAUCACGACGAGUACGACUCCAUCAACCCCGUUCUCUUGAACGCUUCCGCUCGCGAUCUACAAGGGUAUGUAGAUGCACUCCCCUUUCCCUCGUUGCUAGAUAACUUGGUGAUGCGUAGAAAAUUUUAAAUUCUGCUACGUUCCCCAACAGUGGCAUCAUGAGCUAGGUCUAUGCAUUGUUUCUAUGCACGAGUAGAACACAAAGCAGUUGUGGGCGUCGAUAUUGUCAAUUUACUUGCCGUUACUAGUCUUAUCUUGAUUCGGCGGCCGGACCGACCUUACACGUACACUUACGUGAGAUUGGUUCCACCGACUGACAUGCACUAGUUGCAUAAGGUGGCUAGCGGGUGUCUGUCUCUCCCACUUUAGUCGGAUCGGAUUCGAUGAAAAGGGUCCUUAUGAAGGGUAAAUAGAAAUUGGCAUAUCACGUUGUGGUUUUGGCGUAGGUAAGAAACGUUCUUGCUAGAAACCUAUAGCAGCCACGUAAAAACUUGCAACAAUAAUUAGAGGAUGUCUAACUUGUUUUUGUAGCAUGUGUCGUGUGAUGUGAUAUGGCCAAAAGGAUGCGAUGAAUGGUAUAUGUGAUGUAUGAGAUUGAUCAUGUUCUUGUAAUAGGAAUCACGACUUGCAUGUCGAUGAGUAUGACAACCGGCAGGAGCCAUAGGAGUUGUCUUAAUUUAUUUAUGACCUGCGUGUCAAUAUAUAACGUCAUGUAAUUACUUUACUUUAUUGCUAAACCGUUAGCCAUAGUAGUAGAAGUAAUAGAUGAUGAGACAACUUCAUGAAUACACGAUGAUGGAUAUCAUGGUGUCAUGCCAGUGACGACGAUGAUCAUGGCGCCCCGAAGAUGGAGAUCAUAAGGAGCAAAAUGAUAUCGGCCAUAUCAUGUCACUAUUUGAUUGCAUGUGAUGUUUAUCAUGUUUUACAUCUUAUUUGCUUAGAACGAUGGUAGCUUAAAUAAGAUGAUCCCUCUCAAUAAUUUCAAGAAGGUGUCCCCCCUAACUGUGUACCAUUGCGAAGGUUCGUUGUUUCGAAGCACCACGUGAUGAUCGGGUGUGAUGGAUUCUAACGUUCGAAUACAACGAGUGUAAGCCAGAUUUACACACGCAAUACACUUAGGUUGACUUGACAAGCCUAGGAUGUACAGACAUGGCCUCGGAACACGGAAGACCGAAAGGUCGAGCAUGAGUCGUAUAGAAGAUACGAUCAACAUGAAGAUGUUCAUCGAUGUUGACUAGUCCGUCUCACAUGAUGAUCGGACACGGCCUAGUUGACUCGGAUCAUGUUUCACUUAGAUGACUAGAGGGAUGUCUAUCUGAGUGGGAGUUCAUUGAAUAAUUUGAUUAGAUGAACUUAAUUAUCAUGAACUUAGUCUAAAAUCUUUACAAUAUGUCUUGUAGAUCAAAUGGCCCACGCUAAUGUUGCCCUCAACUUCAACGCGUUCCUAGAGAAAACCAAGCUAAAAGAUGAUGGCAUCAACUAUACGGACUGGGUCCGGAACCUGAGGAUCAUCCUCAUAGCUGCCAAGAAAGAUUAUGCCCUAGAAGCACCGCUAGGUGACGCACCCAUCCCAGAGAACCAAGACGUUAUGAUUGCUUGGCAGCAGCGUGCUGAUGAUUACUCCCUCUUUCAGUGCGGCAUGCUUUACAGCUUAGAACUGGGGCUCCAAAAGCGUUUUGAGAAACAUGGAGCAUAUGAGAUGUUCAAAGAGCUGAAAAUGGUUUUCCAAGCUCAUGCCCGGGUCGAGAGAUAUGAAGUCUCUGACAAGUUCUUCAGUUGUAAGAUGGAGGAAAAUAGUUCUGUCAGUGAGCACAUACUCAAAAUGUCUGGGUUGCACAACCGCUUGACUCAGCUGGGAGUUAAUCUCCCGGAUGACACGGUCAUUGAUAGAAUCCUUCAGUCGCUUCCAUCGAGCUACAAGAGCUUUGUGAUGAACUUCAAUAUGCAGGGGAUGGAAAAGACCAUUCCUGAGGUAUAUUCAAUGCUGAAAUCAGCAGAGGUGGAGAUCAAAAAGGAACAUCAAGUGUUGAUGGUGAAUAAAACCACUAAGUUUAAGAAAGGCAAGGGUAAGAAGAACUUCAAGAAGAACGGCAAGGGGGUUUCCGUGCCCGGUGAGCAAGCUGCCGGGAAGAAGCCAAAGAAUGGACCCAAGCCCGAGACUAAGUGUUUUUUUUGCAAGGGAAGUGGUCACUGGAAGCGGAACUGCCCCAAAUACUUAGCGGACAAGAAGGCCGACAACACUAAAGGUAUAUGUGAUAUACAUGUAAUUGAUGUGUACCUUACCAGUACUCGUAGUAGCUCCUGGGUAUUUGAUACCGGUGCCGUUGCUCACAUUUGUAACUCAAAGCAGGAGCUGCGGAAUAAGCGGAGACUGGCGAAGGACGAGGUGACGAUGCGCGUCGGGAAUGGUUCCAAGGUCGAAGUGAUCGCCGUCGGCACGCUACCACUAUAUUUACCUACAUGAUUGGUUUUAAACCUCAAUAAUUGUUAUUUAGUGCCAGCUUUGAGCAUGAACAUUGUAUCAGGAUCUCAUUUAAUUCGAGAUGGCUACUCAUUUAAAUCCGAGAAUAAUGGUUGUUCUAUUUAUAUGAGAGAUAUGUUUUAUGGUCAUGCCUCGCUGGUGAAUGGUUUAUUCUUAAUGAAUCUCGAGCGUAAUGUUACACAUAUUCAUAAUGUGAAUACCAAAAGAUGUAAGGUUGAUAAUGAUAGUCCCACAUACUUGUGGCACUACCGCCUUGGUCACAUAGGUGUCAAACGCAUGAAGAAGCUCCAUGCAGAUGGACUUUUGGAGUCUCUUGAUUGCGAAUCAUUUGACACGUGCGAACCAUGCCUCAUGGGUAAAAUGACCAAGACUCCAUUCUCAGGAACAAUGGAGCGAGCAACCAACUUAUUGGAAAUCAUACAUACUGAUGUGUGCGGUCCAAUGAGUGUUGAGGCUCGUGGUGGCUAUCAUUAUGUUCUCACCCUCACUGAUGACUUGAGUAGAUAUGGGUAUGUCUAAUGAAACACAAGUCUGAGACCUUUGAAAGGUUCAAGGAAUUUCAGAGUGAGGUUGAGAAUCAACGUGACAGGAAAAUCAAGUUCUUGCGAUUAGAUCGUGGGGGAGAAUACUUGAGUCACGAAUUUGGCACGCACUUAAGGAAAUGUGGAAUAGUUUCACAACUCACGCCACCUGGAACACCUCAGCGUAAUGGUGUGUCCGAACGUCGUAAUCGCACUCUAUUGGAUAUGGUGCGAUCUAUGAUGUCUCUUACCGAUCUACCACUGUCAUUUUGGGGCUAUGCUUUAGAGACUGCCGCAUUCACUUUAAAUAGGGCUCCGUCGAAAUCCGUUGAGACAACACCGUAUGAAUUAUGGUUUGGGAAGAAACCUAAGCUGUCGUUUCUAAAAGUUUGGGGAUGCGAUGCUUAUGUGAAGAAACUUCAACCUGAAAAGCUCAAACCCAAAUCGGAAAAAUGCGUCUUCAUAGGAUACCCUAAAGAAACUAUUGGGUAUACCUUCUACCUCAGAUCUGAAGGCAAGAUCUUUGUUGCCAAGAAUGGAUCCUUUCUAGAGAAAGAGUUUCUCUCGAAAGAAGUAAGUGGGAGGAAAGUAGAACUUGAUGAAGUAUCACCUCUUGAACCGGAAAGUGGCGCAACUCAGGAAAAUGUUCCUGAGGUGCCUGCACCGACUAGAGAGGAAGUUAAUGAUGAUGAUCAUGAAACUUCAGAUCAAGUUGCUACUGAACUUCGUAGGUCCACAAGGACACGUUCCGCACCAGAGUGGUACGGCAACCUUGUCUUGGAAAUCAUGUUGUUAGACAACGGUGAACCUUCGAACUAUGAGGAAGCGAUGGCGGGCCCAGAUUCCGACAAAUGGCUGGAAGCCAUGAAAUCCGAGAUAGGAUCCAUGUAUGCAAAUGAAGUAUGGACUUUUGACUGACUUGCCCGAUGAUUGGCGAGCCCUAGAAAAUAAAUUGAUCUUUUAAAAGAAGACAAACGCAGAUGGUAAUGUGACCAUCUACAAGGCUCGACUCAUCGCUAAGGGUUAUCGACAAGUUGAAGGGGUUGACUACGAUAAGACUUUCUCACCCGUAGCGAAGCUGAAGUCCGUCUGAAUCAUGUUAGCAAUUGCCGCAUUCUAUGAUUAUGAGAUAUGGCAAAUGGACGUCAAAACGGCAUUCCUUAACGGCUUUCUUAAGGAAGAAUUGUAUAUGAUGCAGCCAACAGGUUUUGUCGAUCCUAAGAAUGCUAACAAGGUGUGCAAGCUCCAACGCUCAAUCUAUGGGCUGGUGCAAGCAUCUCGGAGUUGGAACAUUCGAUUUGAUGAGAUGAUCAAAGCGUUUGGGUUUACACAGACUUAUGGAGAAGCCUGUGUUUACAAGAAAGUGAGUGGGAGCUCCGUAGCAUUUCUCAUAUUAUAUGUGGAUGACAUACUGUUGAUGGGAAAUGAUAUGGAAUUCUUGGAAAGCAUAAAGGCCUACUUGAACAAGUGUAUUUCUAUGAAGGACCUUGGAGAAUCUGCUUAUAUAUUAGGCAUCAAAAUCUAUAGAGAUAGAUCGAGACGCCUCAUUGGUCUUUCACAAAGUACGUACCUUGACAAGAUAUUGAAGAAGUUCAAUAUGGAUCAGUCCAAGAUGGGGUUCUUGCGUGUAUUGCAAGGUAUGCAAUUGAGCACGGCUCAAUGCCCGACCACAGCAGAAGAUAGAGAAAAGAUGAGUGUCGUCCCCUAUGCCUCGGCCAUAGGGUCUAUUAUGUAUGUCAUGCUGUGUACCAGACCUGAUGUAAACCUUGCCGUAAGUUUGGUAGGAAGGUACCAAAGUAAUCCCAGCAUGGAACACUGGACAUCGGUCAAGAAUAUCCUGAAGUACCUGAAGAGGACUAAGGAUAUGUUUCUCGUUUAUGGAGGUGACAAAGAGCUCGUCGUAAAGGGUUACGUCGAUGCUAGCUUCGACACAGAUCUGGAUGACUCUAAGUCACAAACCGGAUACGUGUAUAUUUUGAAUGGUGCGGCAGUAAGCUGGUGCAGUUGCAAGCAAAGCUUUAUGGCGGGAUCUACAUGUGAAGCGGAGUACAUGGCAGCCUCGGAGGCAGCAUAAUAAGCAAUCUGGGUGAAGGAGUUCAUUACCGACCUAGGAGUCAUUCCCAAUGCAUCGGGCCCGAUGACUCUCUUCUGUGACAACACUGGAGCUAUUGCCCUUGCCAAGGAGCCGAGGUUUCACAGGAAGACCAGGCAUAUCAAGCGUCGCUUCAACUCCAUUCAUGAAAGAGUUCAAAAUGGAGACAUAGAUAUUUGUAAAGUACAUACGGACCUGAAUGUAGCAGAUCCGUUGACUAAACCUCUCCCUAGAGCAAAACAUGAUCAACACCAGAACUCUAUGGGUGUUCGAUUCAUCACAAUGUAACUAGAUUAUUGACUCUAGUGCAAGUGGGAGACUAUUGGAAAUAUGCCCUAGAGGCAAUAAUAAAAUGGUUAUUAUUAUAUUUCCUUGUUCAUGAUAAUUGUCUAUUGUUCAUGCUAUAAUUGUGUUAUCCGGAAAUCGUAAUACAUGUGUGAAUACAUAGACCACAACACGUCCCUAGUGAGCCUCUAGUUGACUAGCUCGUUGAUCAAAAGAUAGUCAUGGUUUCCUAACUAUGGACAUUAGAUGUCAUUGAUAACGGGAUCACAUCAUUAGGAGAAUGAUGUGAUGGACAAGACCCAAUCCUAAGCAUAGCUCAAAGAUCGUGUAGUUCGUUUGCUAGAGCUUUUCCGAAUGUCAAGUAUCAUUUCCUUAGACCAUGAGAUUGUGCAACUCCUGGAUACCGUAGGAGUGCUUUGGGUGUGCCAAACGUCACAACGUAACUGGGUGACUAUAAAGGUGCACUACGGGUAUCUCCGAAAGUGUUUGUUGGGUUGGCACGAAUCGAGACUGGGAUUUGUCACUCCGUAUGACGGAGAGGUAUCUCUGGGCCCACUCGGUAAUGCAUCAUCAUAAUGAGCUCAAUGUGACCAAGUGGUUGAUCAUGGGAUCAUGCAUUAUGGUACGAGUAAAGUGACUUGCCAGUAAUGAGAUUGAACGAGGUAUUGGGAUAUCGACGAUCGAGUCUUGGGCGAGUAACGUACCGAUUGACAAAGGGAAUUGUAUACGGGAUUGAUUGAAUCCUCGACAUCGUGGUUCAUCUGAUGAGAUCAUCGAGGAGCAUGUGGGAGCCAACAUGGGUAUCCAGAUCCCGUUGUUGGUUAUUGACCGGAGAGUCGUCUCGGUCAUGUCUGCGUGUCUCCCGAACCCGUAGGGUCUACACACUUAAGGUUCGGUGACGCUAGGGUUGUUGAGAUAUUAGUAUGCGGUAACCCGAAAGUUGUUCGGAGUCCCGGAUGAGAUCCCGGAUGUCACGAGGAGUUCCAAAAUGGUCCGGAGGUGAAGAAUUGUAUAUAGGAAGUCCAGUUUCGGCCACCGGGAAAGUUUCGGGGGUCACCGGUAUUGUACCGGGACCAUCGGAAGGGUCCCGGGGGUCCACCGGGUGGGGCCACCUAUCCCGAAGGGCCCCAUGGGCUGAAGUGGGAGGGGAACCAGCCCCUGAUGGGCUGGUGAGCCCCCCUUGGGCCUCCCCCUGCGCCUAGGGUUGGAAACCCUAGGGGUGGGGGCGCCCCACUUGGCUUGGGGGGCAAGCCACCCCCCUUGGACGCCGCCCCCCAUCUAGAUGGGAUGUAGAGGGGCCGGCGCCCCCCUAGACCCCUAUAUAAAGAGGGGGAGGGAGGGCUGUGCACCCAAGCCCCUGGCGUCUCCCUCUCCCUCCCGUGACACCUCUCCCUCUCGCUGAGCUUGGCGAAGCCCUACUGAGAUCACCGUUGCUUCCACCACCACGCCGUCGUGCUGCUGGAUCUCCAUCAACCUAUCCUUCCCCCUUGCUGGAUCAAGAAGGAGGAGACGUCUUCCCAACCGUACGUGUGUUGAAUGCGGAGGUGCCGUCCGUUCGGCGCUCGGUCAUCGGUGAUUUGGAUUACGACGAGUACGACUCCAUCAAACCCGUUCUCUUGAAUGCUUCCGCUCGCGAUCUACAAGGGUAUGUAGAUGCACUCCCCUUUCCCUCGUUGCUAGAUAACUCCAUAGAUUGAUCUUGGUGAUGCGUAGAAAAUUUUAAAUUCUGCUACGUUCCCCAACAACAAUGCCUAUGAAUAUAUCUUAUAUUGUUCUUGCUAAGUUACUACUGCUAUCAUCACUGUUGCACUUGCUACAAAACUAUUGCUAUCACUGUUACCACUACCGUUAUUGUUCCUACUAUUAUCAAAACUAUCAUACUACUUUGCUACUGAUCACUUUGAUGCAGAUAAUUAAUCUCCAGGUGUGAUUGAAUUCACAACUCAGCUGCUAAUACAUUCAAAUAUUAUUUGGCUCCCCUUGUGUCGAAUCUAUAAAUUUGGGUUGAAUACUCUACCCUCAAAAACUGUUGCGAUCCCCUAUACUUGUGGGUUAUCAUACAACACACGAGAGUAAUAUAUGGCUUGCUCCCGAGUCCAAAAGCUGCCAGAUUCAGAAGUUCGUGGUCCAUCAUAGGGACUCAUCUUGAAGAAAGAAUAUAUGUCGGGGUAUUCAUUCCGGUUGAUGAGAGGGCCUUUGGCACCAGUGCCAUCCGAAAAGAUUGGCAUUUUCCCUCUUGGAUUGUGAUACUGCAAUUCUUCUUCGAUAGAAAGAACUUCAUCACUAUAAACUACUGAGCCCGUGUUUCGCUCAUAUGGAGGUGGAUGAGAUGGAUUUCUCUUAGAGGGUCCAUCUUCAGUAUUCGAUGCUGGAGUAGUGACAACAUUCAAAUUGAGAGCAUCAUUUUCUUUCGAAACUGAAGGUGGCACAUCCCCAGUUGACUUGAUAGAUUCUUCUUUGUCAGCCUCUUUUUCUUCUGGCACUUGGGUUGUGACAUGAGCAUAAUCUUAGGGAUCAGAUGGUUUCUCUUCAGGCACUGGAACCUAGAGUUCUUGCUUGUCAAGAUCACUAGCUUUCGGAGAUUCUUGCUCGACUGGCAUAGGAGGAGGAGAUGCACGGAUCUCAUCAUUGUCAGUAGUAGCCUGUUCGAUCACUAGAGGAUCCCCUAAGUGUGGUUUUAGUAAUUAAUGUAGCCCCUAAGUGUGGUUUUGGUAAUUAAUGAUAAUCUCUAUGGACUAAUGUUUUGGGUGAGAUAUAUUUGAAGGUAUUGUCCAUAGAUGGUGCAUCAAGGAUAUUAGAUGGAAUCAAGGAUGCACUACAAUCAUGAUGUGCCACUUGGUGACUUUCUUGAUUAACAAAUUGCUAGAGUUAUACAACAUGAUGUUGUUGAAUCUGAUGAUGAGCUUGAACCUGAAACUCCUGAAACACCUGCUAGAACUAGACCUCCUAGAUAUGAAUUGCCUAAGGUACCGGAAGGUUAUGUUAUGGGUGAAGAAACAACUAGAGAUAUUCUUGCUUGCAGAGAUAGAGAUGAUCUAGAGAAAUUAUUAUGCAAGUAUAAAGAAAAAUCUCUGAAUGCUAGAAUGAAAUGUGAUCCUAAGUUUGCUACUUCACCUAUCUUUAUUGAUGAUAAGGAUUAUGAAUUUUCUGUCGACCCAGAAUUGAUUACUUUGGUUGAAUCUGAUCCUUUCCAUGGUUAUGAAACUGAAACUGUUGUGGCACAUCUUACUAAGUUGAAUGACAUAGCCACCCUUUUUACUCAUGAUGAGAAAACUCGCUAUUACUAUAUUCUCAAAUUAUAUCCUUUCUCUUUAAAGGGUGAUGCUAAAGCUUGGUACAAUACUCUUGCUCCUGGUUGUGUGCGUAGUCCCUAGGAUAUGAUUUAUUACUUCCCUGAAAAAUAUUUCCCUGCUCAUAAGGAACAAGCUGCCUUGUAGGAAAUAUUUAACUUUGUUCAAAUUAAAGAAGAGAGUCUCUCACAAGCUUGGGGGAGGCUUUGCCAAUUACUUAAUGCCUUGCCAUACCAUCCUCUUAAUAAAAAUGAAAUAUUGGAUAUCUUCUAUAAUGGACUAACCGAUGCUUCUAGGGAUUUCCUAGAUAGUUGUGCUGGUUGUGUUUUCAGGGAAUGAACUGUUGGACAAGCUGAAGAAUUAUUGAAUAAAAAAUUAUGAUGAUUGGACUCUUCCUGAACCACCGCCUAAACCCACUCCAAAGAAGAGGGGUAUAUUAUAUCUCAGUCCUGAAGAUAUGCAAGAGGCAAAGAAAUAUAUGAAGGAAAAAGGUAUUAAAGCCGAGGAUGUUAAAAAUUUACCUCCUAUUGAAGAAAUACAUGGGCUUAAUACACAACCACUGCCUAAGGUGGCAGAGGUAAAUUCUCUUAUGACAUUUAAUUAUAAUGAUAAUCCUCACAAUAUGCAUCCUAGCCAAUGCCUUUAUGAGUUUGAAAACUACAUUAGAAAACAAGAUCACUUCAAUGCAAAUGUUAUGAAACAAUUGAAAUACAAUUCUGAUAUGAUUGCUCGCUUGAGUGACUUGUUAUUUAGAAUAUCAAAUGAUGUUAGAGGUGUUGAAAAGCAUGCUUCUAUGGUUCAAACUCAGUUAGAACAAGUUGCUAAAUCUCAAAGAGAAUUGCUUGAUGAAAUGAAUAAUAAUAUGCAUGACUUUGCUGUUAGAGUUGCAACUAGAGGAGGUAAAAUGACUCAGGAACCACUUUAUCCUGAGGGACACCCAAAAAGAAUUGAACAAGUUUCACAAAGAGCCAACACUAGUGCACCUUGUUCUUCAAAAAAGAAAAAUAAGAAGAAGAAUGAUAGGACUUUGCAUGCUCCUAGUGAACCUGAAAUAGAGAAACCUCUUGAUAAUGAUAAUGAAGUUUCUAUCUCUGAUGCUGAAACUCGGUCUGGUAAUGAACACUCACCUAGUGAUAAUGAAAAAUACAAUGUUGAUGUUCAUGGAGACACUCAACCAAAUAAUAAAGAACCAGACAAUGAUGUUGAGAUAGAACCAUCUUUUGAUCUUGAUAACCCACAACCUAAGAAUAAAAGGUAUGAUAAAAGAGGCUUCAUUGCUAGAAAACAUGGAAAAUAAAGAGAACCGUGGGUUCAAAAACCUAUGCCUUUUCCACCUAAGUCAACUAAAAAGAAUGAUGAUGAAGGAUUUGAACGCUUUGCUGAAAUGCUGAGGCCAGUCUUUUUACGUACUCGCUUGACUGAUAUCUUGAAAAUGCCUCCUUAUGCAAAGUAUAUGAAAGACAUCAUCAGAAAUAAGAGAAAAAUACCGGAAGUUGAAAUCUCCACUAUGCUUGCUAAUUAUACUUUUAAAGGUGGAGUACCUAAAAAACUUGGAGAUCCGGGAAUUCCAACUAUACCUUGCUCUAUCAAAAAGAAUUAUGUGAAAACUGCUUUGUGUGAUUUAGGAGCCGGUGUUAGUGUUAUGCCUUUAUAUUUAUAUAAAAGACUUGAUUUGAAUAAACUCACACCUACUGAAAUAUCUUUGCAAAUGGCUGAUAAAUCAACAGCCAUACCUAUUGGUAUCUGUGAGGAUGUGCCCGCUGUUGUUGCAAAUGUUACUAUUUUGACUGACUUCAUUAUACUUGAGAUGCCCGAGGACGACAACAUGUCUAUUAUCCUUGGUAGACCCUUCUUGAAUACUGCAUGGGCUGUUAUUAAUUGUAAUAAAAGCAAGGUCACUUUUCAUAUCAAUGGUAAUGAGCAUACAGUGCACUUACCGAAGAAACAAUUCUAAGUGAAUGGUAUUAAUGUUAUUGAAAAAUCUCCGACAAUCACUAUUGGAAGUUUUAAAAUACCUCUACCUACAUUCAAAAAGAAAUGUGAAAUGCUUAUUGUUGGGGACAUGCAUAUCCCCAUUGAGGUAACUUAGUGAUUUACGAAAGUUCUUCGGUUUCAUGCUAAUCGAAAGUGGUUGUUAAUAAGACCUGAUCAACCUUAUUAAUGGAUCAUUUUUGAACGAUACGAAGUUGAUGAAUUUAAUAAGCACUACCUUUUGUUCCUACUUUUUAUUCUCUGUUUUUAUUAGUUAAAUAAAAUAAAAUGCCAUAUUCUGUCUGUUUUCUGAAUUUCCCGUGCAAUAAAAAAUGACCCAAAAAUAAAAGUUCUCAGAAUGCCCUGAAAAUUUAAUAUGAUUUUUUUCUGAAUAUUUAAGAAUUUUUGGUGCAAAUAACAUCAGAGGGAGGUGCACCAGGUGGGCACAACCCACCUGGGUGCGCCAGGACCCCCAGGCGCGCCCUGGUGAGUUGUGGUCUCCACGUGGGCCCCCUCACUUAUCUCUUCAUACCACAUCAUCACCUACCUCCAGAAAAAAAAUCUCCCUUGCUCUCUCUCUCUCUCGUGUUCUUGCUUUCAAGCCCGCAUAUUUCGAUCUCUUUACUCGAAGCUCCAUUUUCGAAACAGUUUCGGGGGAUUGUUGCUUGGUAUGUGACUCCACCAUUUGUCCAAUUAGUUUUUAUUUUAGUGGUUUAUAUUUUGAAUAAUUAGCUACCCUUGUUGCUGCUGUAGAUGUGCUUGCAUGUUGAAUUCUUAGUGUUCUAAGUAGUUUGAAUGCUUGCUAUGGCCUCUAUGUAUCCCUAUGAGUAGGUGAUAUCAAUCUUAUAAAGUUUUGUUGAUAAAUUUUUGUCACCCAAUUUUUUUUAGAAAAUUGUACGCGAACAUGAUGAACUUGUUUGAAAGGAGUUCUUCCUCGGGGGCAUCUUCUAGUGACAGCUCCGUUCGCCAGUCAUAUGUUGAACCAAGUGAAAGUUCCACUCGAGAUGCCGCCACCAAAACAUGCUUAUGGCCGUGCGAUGAGUAUAUGAUGUGUGUGGGUAUUAAAUAAGAAUUUGAGCAAUAUAUUCACAAUGCCGGUCUCGGUCCCUACAAUUCAGAUAAGUGUGAACAACACCACCUUCUCACUAAAUCAUUUGUCAAAGUAUUUAAAUUCCUUUCCCGUGAGUCUAGGGUGUCGUUUAUGCUUUAUGAUAACCCAUUUACCAUAUCACUAGAGAGUUUUGCUUACCACUGCAAACUCCCGUUAUGGGGUUCGCUUAACGAACCGCCAAGGGCUGAGUAUCAAACAUUCUUGUAUAAUCUUUGUUACAGUGAGACGAGGGGAGUGACAUAAGGUAGAAUAAAGAGCAUUCAUUUUCCCACAAUUCAGUACUUUGCAUUAUUUAAUGGGAAAUGUAUAGUAGGCAAGAAAGACUAUAGUACACUUUGUGCUCUAGACUUAAGCCUCAUCCACACCGCUCUCACCAGUGAAAGGAAUUAUAACCUUGGAGCGAUUGUUGCACGCAGACUUCAGCACAACACUAACAGUGGCUAUUUCUAUGGUGGAAUAUAUGCCACGCGUUUAGCAUGAGGGCUGGGUGUUGCACCUUUGACCUUUGAUCCUAUCCUACCCACGCAGUAUUUAGAUUUUGACACUUUAAAGGAACAUAAGAUUCUUAAGGGAAAGGUUGACAACUUCACUUAUAAUCUAUUGUUUAACCAAAAAUCUGUUGUGCACACAUAUUUGCCUGCGCCUGCUCUUUUUGAUUACCACAGCAAAGGAAGAUAUUUUGUUCUUGAGAGCGAGGCCCAAGCUCACAACGCAGCAGUGGAGGCAGCACGGCAGGGCGAGGCAUCCGCACCGAGAGCCUCCGUGAGCUACCAUGCCAACUAUUAUCCAGACUACUGAUCGAGUACCAAGUUAGGCUAAAAUCCUAAGCUUGGGGGAGUACGUGUUUCCCACCGACAUUACAUUCAUGUUCACUUAUUCAUCUUGUCGGUGUUCACACUUUUUCAUUGUAUCAUCCAUGUUUAAAUUUUAUUUUUCUUACUUUCUUCUUGUGUGUUUGCAAAACUUUAGAAAAACCAAAAAAUUAGUUAUAGCUAGUUUACUUUCCAUGCAUGCUUAGUUGUAAUAUUAAUAUUAAAAAGAAAACCCAAAAAGAUUUCCUUGUUCUUCUUUUGCUUGUUGGGAGUUUUCCCGUGUAAAUACUUUUUCUCGUUUUUUCUUUUCCCUUUUAUUUGCUUGUUCAAGAAAACCAAAAACUUCAAAAAUAUUUCAAUGUGUUUCUCUGAAUUUCUUUUACUUUUAUUCGAGUUGUGCCAAGGAGAAGACCACGAUGAAAAUGUUGAGUGGCUCUCAUAUGAAUAAUUGUUGAACUAAUAAAGAGCCCAUUUUACCUUGUCUUCUCCUGUCGAAUAAAAUGUUUUGCAGAUUCGAAAAUAGUCCAUGGCAUUCUUGCACUAUUAUCAUUUUCACAUUGUUCGGUCAUGCAAGUGAAAGGCAAUAAUGACGAUAUUUGAUGAAGUGGCCAUGGCAGAGAGAAACUGGUAUGAACUCGACUUGUUCUGUUUGUGUAAAUAUGUUUAACCUAGUAUCCAUGAUUCAACCCAUUAUGAUUAAACAUGUUUUCAAUGACAAUUAGAGAUUAUAGUUUCUCAUGCCAUGCAUAAGUAGCUGGGAGUGGAUAAUGAUUUAUCUUGGAUAUCAACAUUGCCUUAAAAUGAUUGUGAUGUAGUAUGAUGAUAUGGUAUCCUCCUCUGAAUGUUUGAGUGGCUUGACUUGGCACAUGUUCAUGCAUGUAGCUGAAUCAAAACCAACAUAGCCUCUAUGAUAUUUAUGUUCAUGGUGUUCAUAUCCUACUCAUGCUAGUGUCCAAUGUUACUUACGCAUAAUGCAUGAUCAUGAUCGUUGUUGCUCUCUAGCUAGCCGCUUCUCAAUCUAAUUGCUAGCCUUCGCCUGUACUAAGUGGGGAUUCUGCUUGUACAUCAAAAACCCUGAACCCAAAGUUAUUCCAGAUGAGUCCACCAUACCUACCUAUAUGCGGUAUUACCCUGCUGUUCAAAGUAAAUUUGCAUGUACCACCUUUAAAAAUUUCUAAAAAAAUAUCUGUUUUGUGUGCCUGGAUCAUUCAUGGAACGAUAAAAGGUAGUCGGUAUCUUCCAUGCUAAGCUGGUUAUUCUCAGGUCGAGUGUUUAUUCACUCGCCAUCGCACGAGAAAAGGGCGGUAAUAGGGAUGCCCAGUCCCAAACUACAAAAUACAAAAAAGAUUUAAUCGGUCGAAUAAUCAAACAAAAACUCCCAAUGGAGUCAAAACCUUUACUUUUUAUCGCUUGGGAACUGCCAUUAGCUUUUUUAAUAUGGGAGAUAUUGAUAACUGAUAGUCUUGAAGUAAAUGAGAAGGGUGCAUGUCUCAAAAUACAAUUUAUCUCUGUUUUAAAACUUGAGCUCUAGCACCUCUGCAAAUCACCGCUUCCCUCUGCGAAGGGACUAUCUAUUUACUUUUAUGUUGUGUCAUCACCUUCUAAAACAAGCGCUAGAACCUGAGAGCACAGCUGUCAUGACUUAUGCAUUGUGUGUAGCUAAUGUUGGGUGCAUCAUGACUGGAUCUUUUCUACCAUGAAUUACAAUGUUUAGUCACUGCUUGGACUUUGGAGGUCCUCUGCAUUUAUGUUUUGCGGUCUCAGAAAGGGCUAACGAUAUACCACUAUUGUCAUAUUAUAUCAUGGUUGUUUUGACAACGUGUUGCCGUUUGAGAUGUCUUAUUAUUGCUCACGAGCUGAUUAUGUCACUGAUAUGAGGUAAUAUAAUCUUUAAGAGUUAUUGUCGGCAUGGUUAGUUAUAAUGUUGGCUGAAAACCUGGGUGUUGUUUAAGCUUAUUUAUGCAAACAAGAGCAAAAGAGUUGGUAAAACCUUUUCUUUUUCACUUUCAGUUUAUCAAUUGAAUUGCUUGAGGACAAGCAAAGGUUUAAGCUUGGGGGAGUUGAUACGUCUCCAACGUAUCUACUUUCCUAACACUUUUUCUCUUGUUUUAGACUCUAAUUUGCAUGAUUUAAAUGAAACUAACCCCGGACUUACGCUGUUUUCAGCAGAACUACCAUGGUGUUGUUUUUGUGCAAAAAUAAAAGUUCUCAGAAUGGAACGAAACUUUGCGAGGAUUUGUACAUCAAUAAUAAGAAUUUUUGGAGCCAAGACCCACCAGAGGGGGGCAUCUGGGUGAGCACAACCCACCAGGGCGCGCCCCCUCACCCGGCGCACCCAGGUGGGUUGUGCCCACCUGGUCGCCCCGCAGACCCUGAAGCCGACGCUAUAAAAUCCUAUUUUUCCAAAAAAAAUCAGGGAGAAAGAAUUAUCACGAUCCACAAGACGGAUCCGCCGUCACCUUCUGUUCUUCAUCAGGAGGCUAGAUCUGUCCGUUUGGGGCUCCGGAGAGGGGGAUCUUCAUUCUUCGUCAUCACCAACCCUUCUCCAUCGCCAAUUGAUACGUCCAUUUUGCAUCAUGCUUUUAUAUCAAUAUUUAUUGCAUUAUGGGCUGUUAUUACACAUUAUGUCACAAUACUUAUGCCUAUUCUCUCUUAUUUUACAAGGUUUCCAUAAAGAGGGAGAAUGCCGACAGCUGGGAUUCUGGGCUGGAAAAGGAGCAAAUAUUAGAGACCUAUUCUUCACAGCUCCAAAAGUUCUGAAACUUCAUGGAAGUCAAUUUCAGAAUAUAUAAUAAAUAUUGAGCGCAAGAAGUUCACCAGGGGGGCCACACCCUGCCCACGAGGGUGGGGGCGCGCCCUACCCCCCUGACGCCCCCCUACCUCGUGGGCCCCCUGGUGGCACUCUGAUGACCAUCUUCUGCUAUAUGAGUUCUUUCGAUGAGGAAAAAAUGAGAAGCCAUCUUCUCGGACGAAACUCCGCCGCCACGAGGCGGAACCUUGGCGGAACCAAUCUAGGGCUCUAGCGGAGCUGUUCUGCCGGGGAAACUUCCCUCCGGGAGGAGGAAAUCAUCGCCAUCAUCAUCACCAACGCUCCUCCCAUCGGGAGAGGGAAAUCUCCAUCAACAUCUUCACCAGCACCAUCUCCUCUCAAAAUCCUAGUUCAUCUCUUGUAUCCAAUUCUUGUCUCCAAGUCCGGGAUUGGUACCUGUGGGUUGCUAGUAGUGUUAAUUACUCCUUGUAGUUGAUGCUAGUUGGUUUAAUUGGUGGAAGAUCAUGUGUUCAGAUCCUAUAUGCAUAUUAAUACCCCUCUGAUUAUGAACAUGAAUAUGCUUUGUGAGUAGUUACAUUUGUUCCUGAGGACAUGGGAGAAGUCUUGCUAUUAGUGGUCAUGUGAAUUUGGUCUUCGUUCGAUAUUUUGAUGAGAUGUAUGUUGUCUCUCCUCUAGUUGUGUCAUGUGAACGUCGACUACAUGACACUUCACCAUUGUUUGGGCCUAGAGGAAGGCAUUGGGGAGUAAUAAGUAGAUGUUGGGUUGCUAGAGUGACAGAAGCUUAAACCCUAGUUUAUGCGUUGCUUCGUAAGGGGCUGAUUUGGAUCCAUAUGUUUCAUGCUAUGGUUAGGUUUACCUUAAUAUUUUUGUUGUAGUUGCGGAUGCUUUGCAAUAGAGGUUAAUCAUAAGUGGGAUGCUUGUUCAAGUAAGGACAAUACGCAAGCACCGGUCCACCCACAUAUCAGAUUAUCAAUGUACCGAACACAAAUCAUAUGAGCGUGAUGAAAACUAGCUUGACGAUAUUCCCAUGUGUCCUCGGGAGCGCUUUUGUCUAUAUAAGAGUUUGUCCAGGCUUGUCCUUUGCUACAAAAAGGAUUGGGCCACCUUGCUGCACUUUUUACUUUUGUUACUUGUUGCUCGUUACAAAUUAUCCUAUCACAAAACUAUAUGUUACCACUUAUUUCAGUACUUGCAGAGAAUACCUUGCUGGAAACCGCUUAUCAUUUCCUUCUACUCCUCGUUGGGUUCGACACUCUUACUUAUCGAAAGGACUACGAUAGAUCCCCUAUACCUGUGGGUCAUCAAGACUCUUUUCUGGCACCGUUGCUGGGGAGUGAAGCGCCUUUGGUAGGUGGAAUUUGGUAAGGAAAAUUUUUAUAUAGUGCGCUGAAAUUUACUGUCACUUGUUACUAUGGAAGGUAAUCCUCUGAGGGGCUUGUUCGGGGUAUCUUCACCCCGACCAGUAGAGCAAAGAUUUGCUCCUCAACCAACUGAACCUACUGAAAAUGAAAAUAAAAAUGAAAGUGUCUGCUUUGAAUUUCCUUCGGGUAUGUUAGAAAAACUGCUAGCUAAUCCUUUUGCAAGAGAUGGAACAAUGCAUCCUGAUGAGCACCUAAUAUAUGUUGAUGAAGUUUGUGGAUUAUUUAUGCUUGCAGGUGUACCCGGAGAUGUUGUUAAGAAGAAAGUCUUCCCUUUAUCUUUGUGGGAAGAUGCAUUGACAUGGUAUAGGCUAUGUGAUGAUACGGGGCCAUGGAACUACAAACGAUUGAAAUUGGAAUUUCAUCAGAAGUUUUAUCCUAUGCAUCUUGUUCAUCGUGAUCACAAUUAUAUAUAUAUUUUUUGGCCUCGCGAAGGAGAAAGCAUCGCUCAAGCUUGGGGGAGGCUUAAAUCAAUGUUAUAUUCAUGCCCCAAUCAUGAGCUCUCAAGAGAAAUGAUUAUUCAAAAUUUAUAUGCUCGGCUUUCUGAUAACAAUCGCACCAUGCUCGAUACUUCUUGUGCUAUCUCUUUUAUGAUGAAUACUAUUGAAUUCAAAUGGGAAUUAUUGGAAAGAAUUAAACGCAAUUCUGAAUAUUGGGACCUCGACGAAGGUAAGAAGUCAGGUAUGACACCUAAGUUUGAUUGUGUUAAAUCUUUUAUGGAUACCGAUGUUUUCCGUAAAUUUAGCACUAAACAUGGACUUGACUCUGAAAUAGUAGCUUCUUUCUGUGAAUCUUUUGCUACUUAUGUUGAUCUCCCCAAGGAGAAGUGGUUUAAAUAUCAUCCUCCCAUAGAAGUAAAAGUAGCUGCACCUAUUAAAGUUGAAGAAAAGAUUGUCACUUAUAAUGAUCCUAUUGUUCCUACUUCUUAUGUGAGAAACCACCUUUCCCUGUUCGGAUAAAGGAUCAUGCUAAAGCUUCAACUGUGGUUCGUAAAAGCAAUAUUAAAACAUAUACACCUCCUGAGCAAGUUAAAGUUGAACCUAAUAUUGCUAUUGUUAAAGAUCUUUUGUCUGACAAUGUUGAUGGGCAUGUUAUUUAUUUCUGUGAUGAAACUGCUAGAAUUGCUAAACCUUGUGCUAAAGAUAAACCUAGACCUGUGGUAGGCAUGCCUAUUAUUUCUGUUAAAAUAGGAGAUCAUUGUUAUCAUGGCUUAUGUGAUAUGGGUGACAGUGCUAGUGGAAUACCUAUUAGCCUAUAUAGAGAAAUUAUGCAUGAUAUUGCACCUGUUGAGUUAGAAGAUAUUGAUGUCACAAUUAAACUUGCCAAUAGAGAUACUAUAUCACCAAUGGGAAUUGUUAGAGAUGUUGAAGUCUUGUGUGGGAAAACUAAAUAUCCUGUUGAUUUUCUUGUUCUUGAUUCCCCACAAGAUAGCUUUUGUCCCAUUAUAUUUGGUAGACCCUUCUUAAACACUGUUAAUGCCAAGAUAGAUUGCAAAAAGGAUGUUGUUACUAUCAGUUUAGAUGAUAUGGCUCAUGAAUUUAAUUUCUCUAAAUUUAGUAGACAACACCGUGAAGAAGAAUUACCUAGUAAGGAUGAAAUUAUUGGUCUUGCUUCUAUUGCCGUACCUCCUAGUGAUCCUUUAGAACAAUAUUUGCUAGACCAUGAAAAUGAUAUGUUUAUGAAUGAAAGAAGGGAAAUAGAUGAAGUAUUCUUUAAACAGGAACCUAUUUUGAAAAACAAUUUACCUGUUGAUAUCCUAGGGGAUCCUCCUCCACCCAAGGGUGAUCCCGUCUUUGAGCUUAAACCAUUGCCUGAUACUCUUAAAUAUGCUUAUCUUGAUGAGAAAAAGAUAUAUCCUGUUAUUAUUAGUGCUAACAUUUCAGAGCAUGAGGAAGAGAGAUUAUUGAAAACUCUGAAGAAGCACCGUGCUGCUAUUGGGUAUACUCUUGAUGAUCUUAAGGGCAUUAGUCUAUGUCAACAUAAAAUAAAUUUGGAAGAAGAUGCUAAACCAGUUCGUGAUCAUCAACGACGGCUGAAUCCUAAAAUGAAAGAAGUGGCAAGAAAGGAAAUAUUAAAGCUCCUUGAGGCAGGUAUAAUCUAUCACGUUGCUGAUAGUCAGUGGGUAAGUCCUGUCCAUUGUGUCCUUAAGAAGGGAGGUAUUACUGUCAUUCCUAAUGAUAAAGUUGAAUUGAUUUCUCAAAGAAUUAUUACAGGUUAUAGGAUGGUAAUUGAUUUCUACAAAUUAAAUAAGGCCACUAAAAAGGAUCAUUACCCCUUACCUUUUAUCGAUCAAAUGCUAGAAAGAUUAUUCAAACAUACACAUUUUUGCUUUCUAGAUGGUUAUUCUGGUUUCUCUCAAAUACCUGUCGGAGUAAUUGGACACGGAUACCCCGAAGACGGUGAGACGAUAUUUCAAAACAUCGGGGCUAGCAAACCCCCUUAGUCCGACUGCCCGGCUGCUCCCGCCGGCUCCCCGUCCGACUGCUCUACCCGGCCGGCUGCCGACUACGCCAACCAGCCGGCUGCCGACUGCAGUGUUGGGGAACGUAGCAGAAAUUCAAAAUUUUCCUACGCGUAUCACCAAGAUCUAUCUAUGGAGAGACCAGCAACGAGUAGAAAGGAGAGUGCAUCUACAUACCCUUGUAGAUCGCUAAGCGGAAGCGUUCAAGUGAACGGGGUUGAUGGAGUCGUACUCGUCGUGAUUCAGAUCACCGAUGAUCCUAGUGCCGAACGGACGGCACCUCCGCGUUCAACACACGUACAGCUCGACGAUGUCUCCCACGCCUUGAUCCAGCAAGGAGAGAGGGAGAGGUUGAGGAAGACUCCAUCCAGUAGCAGCACAACGGCGUGGUGGUGGUGGAGGAGCGUGGCAAUCCCGCAGGGCUUCGCCAAGCACCUACGGGAGAGGAGGAGGUGUCACGGGAGGGAGGGAGGCGCCAAGGGCUCAGGUAUGGAUGCCCUCCCUCCCCUCCACUAUAUAUAGGGGCAGGGGAGAGGGGGGAGGCGCAGCCUUGCCCCCUCCUCCAAGGAAGGGGUGCGGCUAAGGAGGGGGGGAGGAGUCCAUCCUCCCCAAGGCACCUCGGAGGUGCCUUCCCCCUUUAGGACUCUCCCCUUUUUCCUUUAUCUUGGUGCAUGGGCCUCUAGGGGCUGGUGCCCUUGGCCCAUGUAGGCCAAGGCGCACCCCCUACAGCCCAUGUGGCCCCCCGGGACAGGUGGCCCCACCCGGUGGGCCCCCGGGACCCUUUCGGUGGUCCCGGUACAAUACCGAUGACCCCGAAACUUGUCCCGAUGGCCGAAACAGGACUUCCUAUAUAUAAAUCUUUACCUCCGGACCAUUCCGGAACUCCUCGUGAUGUCCGGGAUCUCAUCCGGGACUCCGAACAACAUUCGAUAACCACAUACAAACUUCCUUUAUAACCCUAGCGUCAUCGAACCUUAAGUGUGUAGACCCUACGGGUUCGGGAGACAUGCAGACAUGACCGAGACGUUCUCCGGUCAAUAACCAACAGCGGGAUCUGGAUACCCAUGUUGGCUCCCACAUGUUCCACGAUGAUCUCAUCGGAUGAACCACGAUGUCAAGGACUCAAUCAAUCCCGUAUACAAUUCCCUUUGUCUAGCGGUAUGGUACUUGCCCGAGAUUCGAUCGUCGGUAUACCGAUACCUUGUUCAAUCUCGUUACCGGCAAGUCUCUUUACUCGUUCCGUAACACAUCAUCCCGUGAUCAACCCCUUGGUCACAUUGUGCACAUUAUGAUGAUGUCCUACCGAGUGGGCCCAGAGAUACCUCUCCGUUUACACGGAGUGACAAAAUCCCAAUCUCGAUUCGUGCCAACCCAACAGACACUUUCAGAGAUACCCGUAGUGCACCUUUAUAGCCACCCAGUUACGUUGUGACGUUUGGCACACCCAAAGCACUCCUACGGUAUCCGGGAGUUGCACAAUCUCAUGGUCUAAGGAAAUGAUACUUGACAUUAGAAAAGCUUUAGCAUACGAACUACAUGAUCUUGUGCUAGGCUUAGGAUUGGGUCUUGUCCAUCACAUCAUUCUCCUAAUGAUGUGAUCCCGUUAUCAACAACAUCCAAUGUCCAUGGUCAGGAAACCGUAACCAUCUAUUGAUUAACGAGCUAGUCAACUAGAGGCUUACUAGGGACAUGGUGUUGUCUAUGUAUCCACACAUGUAUCUGAGUUUCCUAUCAAUACAAUUCUAGCAUGGAUAAUAAACGAUUAUCAUGAACAAGGAAAUAUAAUAAUAACCAAUUUAUUAUUGCCUCUAGGGCAUAUUUCCAACAGUCUCCCACUUGCACUAGAGUCAAUAAUCUAGUUCACAUCGAUAUGUGAUUAACACUCAAGGUCACAUCCCCAUGUGACUAACACCCAAAGAGUUUACUAGAGUCAAUAAUCUAGUUCACAUUUACCAUGUGAUUAACACUCGAUGAGUUCUGGGUUUGAUCAUGUUAUGCUUGUGAGAGAGGUUAUAGUCAACGGGUCUGAACCUUUCAGAUCCGUGUGUGCUUUACAAAUCUCUAUGUCAUCUCCUAGAUGCAGCUACCACGUUCUAUUUGGAGCUAUUCCAAAUAACUGUUCUACUUGGAGCUAUUCUAAAUUGUUGCUCCAUUAUACGUAUCCGGUAUCUCUACUCAGAGCUAUCCGGAUAGGUGUUAAGCUUGCAUCGACGUAACCCUUUACGACGAACUCUUUUACCACCUCCAUAAUCGAGAAAAUUCCUUAGCCCACUAGUUACCAAGGAUAACUUUGACCGCUGUCCUGUGAUCCAUUCUUGGAUCACUCUUGUACCCCUUGACUGACUCAUGGUAAAGCACACUUCAGGUGCGGUACACAGCAUAGCAUACUGUAGAGCCUAUGUCUUAAGCAUAGGGGACGACCUUCGUUCCUUUCUCUCUAUUCUGCCAUGGUCGAGCUUUAAGUCUUAACUUCAUACCUUACAACUCAGGCAAGAACUCCUUCUUUGACUGAUCCAUCUUGAACACCUUCAAGAUCACGUCAAGGCAUGUGCUCAUUUGAAAGUACUAUUAAGCGUUUUGAUCUAUCCUUAUAGAUCUUGAUGCUCAAUGUUCAAGUAGCUUAAUCCAGGCUUUCCAUUGAAAAAUACUUUCCAAAUAACCCUAUAUGCUUUCCAGAAAUUCUACGUCAUUUCUGAUCAUUAAUAUGUCAACAACAUAUACUCAUCAAAAAUUCUAUAGUGCUCCCACUCACUUCUUUGGAAAUACAAGUUUCUCAUAAACUUUGUAUACACCCAAAAUCUUUGAUCAUCAUCAAAGCAUACAUUCCAACUCCGAGAUGCUCACUCCAGUCCUCAGAAGGAUUGCUGGAGCUUUGCAUACUUAUUAGCAUAUUUCAGGAUAGACAAAACCUUCCGGUUGUAUCACAUACAACCUUUCCUCAAAAAUCGUCGAGGAAACAACGUUUUGACAUCCUAUCUGCAAGAUUUCAUAAAUAAUGCAGUAAUUGCUAAUAUAAUUCCAACAGACUCUUAGCAUCGCUACGAGUGAGAAAGUCUCAUCGUAGUCAACUCCUUGAACUUGUCGAAAAACAUCUUAACGACAAGUCGAGCUUUCUCAAUGGUGACACUUACCAUCAUUGUCUGUCUUCCUUUCAAAAUCCAUAUGUACCUAACAGCCUUACGACCAUCAAGUAGUUCUUCCAAAGUCUACACUUUGUUUUCAUACAUGGAUCCUCUCUCGGGUUUUAUGGCCUAGAGCCAUUUAUCGGAAUCCGGGCCCACCAUCGCUUCUCCAUAGCUCGUAGGUUCAUUGUUGUCUAGCAACAUGAGUUCCAAGACAGGAUUACCGUACCACUCUGAAGUAGUACGUAUCCUUGUCACCCUACGAGGUUUGGUAGUGACUCGAUCCGAAGUUUCAUGAUCACUAUCAUAAGCUUCCACUUCAGUUGGUGUACGUGCCACAGGAACAACUUCCUGUGCCCUGCUACACACUUGUUGAAGUGACGGUUCAAUAACCUCAUCAAGUCUCCACCAUCCUCCCACUCAAUUCUUUCAAGAGAAACCUUUCCUCGAGAAAGGACCCGAUUCUAGAAACAAUUCAUAUUGCUUUCGGAUCUGAAUUAGGAGGUAUACCCAACUGUUUUGGGUGUCCUAUGAAGAUGUAUUUUAUCCGCUUUGGGUUCGAGCUUAUCAAUCCUGAAACUUUUUCACAUAAGGGUCACAGCCCCAAACCUUUAAGAAACGACAACUUAGGUUUCUCUAAACCAUAAUUCAUAUGGUGUCAUCUCAACGGAAUUACAUGGUGCCCUAUUUAAAGUGAAUGUGGUUGUCUCUAAUGCUUAACCCAUGAACGAUAGUGAUAACUCGAUAAGAGACAUCAUGGUAUGCACCAUAUCCAAUAGGGUGCAACUAUGACGUUCGGACACACCAUCACACUAUGGUGUUCCAGGCGGUAUUAAUUGCGAAACAAUUUCCACAAUGUCUUAAUUGUGUGCCAAAACUCGUAACUCAGAUAUUCAUCUCUAUGAUCAUAUCAUAGACAUUUUAUCCUCUUGUCACGACGAUCUUUCAACUUCACCCUGAAAUUACUUGAACCUUUCAAUAAUUCAGACUCAUGAUUCAUCAAGCAAAUGUACUCAACAUCCACUCAAAUUAUCUGUGAAGUAAGAACAUAACAAUAUCCACUACAUGCCUCAGCACUCAUUGGACUGUACACAUCAAAAUGUAUUACUUCCAACAAGUUGCUAUCUUGUUCCAUCUUACUGAAAACGAGGCUUUUCAGUCAUCUUGCCUGUGUGGUAUGAUUUGCAUGUCCCAAGUGAUUCAAAUCAAGUGAGUCAAAACGGUCCAUUUGCAUGGAGUUUCUUCAUGCAUAUACACCAAUAGACAUGGUUCGCAUGUCUCAAACUUUUCAAAAACGAGUGAGCCCAAAGAUCCAUCAAUAUGGAGCUUCUUCAUGCGUUUUAUACCGAUAUGACUUACGUGGCAGUGCCACAAGUAGGUGGUGCUAUCAUUACUAUCUUUUGGCCUGAACAUGUGUAUCACUACGAUCGAGAUUUAAUAAACCAUUCAUUUUAGGUGUAAGACCAUUGAAGGUAUUAUUCAAAUAAACAGAGUAACCAUUAUUCUCCUUAAAUGAAUAACCGUAUUGCGAUAGACGUAAUCCAAUCAUGUCUAUGCUCAACGCAAACACCAAAUAACAAUUAUUUAGGUUUAACACCAAUCUCUUUGGUAGAGGGAGCGUGCGAUGCUUGAUCAUAUCAAGCUUGGAAAAACUUCCAACACAUAUCGUCAGCUCACCUUUAGCUAGUCUCCGUUUAUUCCGUAGCCUUUUGUUUCGAGUUACUAACACUUAGCAACCGAACCGGUAUCUAAUACCCUGGUGCUACUAGGAGUACUAGCAAAGUACACAUUAACACAAUGUAUAUCCAAUAUACUUCUAUCGACCUUGCCAGCCUUCUUAUCUACCAAGUAUCUAGGGUAAUUCUGCUCUAGUGGUUGUUCCCCUUAUUACAGAAGCACUUAGUCUCGGGUUUGGGUUUUACCUUGGGUUUCUUCACUAGAGCAGCAGCUGAUUUGCCGUUUCAUGAAGUAUCCCUUGUUGCCCUUGCCCUUCUUGAAACUAGUGGUUUCACCAACAAUCAACAAUUGAUGCUCCUUCUUGAUUUCUACUUUCGCGGUGUCAAACAUCGCGAAUACCUCAAGGAUCAUCAUAUCUAUCCCUGAUAUGUUAUAGUUCAUCACGAAGCUCUAACAGCUUGGUGGCAAUGACUUUGGAGAACCAUCACUGUCUUAUCUGGAAGAUCAACUCCCACUCGAUUCAAAUGAUUGUUGUACUCAGACAAUCUGAGCACAAGCUCAACAAUUGAGCUUUUCUCCUUAGUUUGCAGGUUAAGAAAGUCAUCGGAGGUCUUAUACCUCUUGACAUGGGCACGAGCCUGAAAUCCCAAUUUCAGCCCUCAAAACAUCUCAUAUGUUUCGCGAUGUUUCAAAAACGUCUUUGGUGCCUCAACUCUAAACCGUUUAACUGAACUAUCACGUAGUUAUCUAAACGUGUAUGUCAGAUGUUCGCAACAACCACAGACAAUGUUCGAGGUUCAGCACACUGAGCAGUGCAUUAAGGACAUAAGCCUUCUAUGAAGCAAUGAGGACAAUCCUCAGUUUACGGACCUAGUCCGCAUAAUUGCUACUAUCAACUUUCAACUAACUGUUUUUCCCUAGGAACAUAUCUAAACAGUAGAACUAUAGCGUGAGCUACGACAUAAUUUGCAAAAACCUUUUGACUAUGUUCAGGAUAAUUAAGUUCAUCUUAUGAACUCCCACUCAGAUAGACAUCCCUCUAGUCAUCUAAGUGAUUACAUGAUCCGAGUCAAACUAGGCCGUGUCCGAUCAUCACGUGAGACGGACUAGUCAUCAUCGGUGAACAUCUUCAUGUUGAUCGUAUCCUCUAUACGACUCAUGCUCGACCUUUCGGUCUCCGUGUUCCGAGGCCAUGUCUGUACAUGCUAGGCUCGUCAAGUUAACCCUAAGUGUUUCGCGUGUGUUCCGAGGCCAUGUCUGUACAUGCUAGGCUCGUCAACACCCUUUGUAUUUGAACGUCUGAAUAAAACACCCGAUCAUCACGUGAUGUUUUGAAACAGCGAACUGUCGCAACGGUGCACAGUUAGGGGAGAACACUUCUUGAAAUUGUUGUAAGGGAUCAUCUUAUUUACUACCGUCGUUCUAAGCAAAUAAGAUGUAUAAACAUGAUAAACAUCACAUGCAAUCAAAUAGUGACAUGAUAUGGCCAUCAUCACUUUGCUCCUUUUGAUCUCCAUCUUCGGGGCUCCAUGAUCAUCAUCGUCACCGGCAUGACACCAUGAUCUCCAUCAUCAUGAUCUCCAUCAUCGUGUCUUCAUGAAGUUGCCUCGCCAACUAUUACUUCUACUACUAUGGCUAACGGUUAGCAAUAAAGUAAAGUAAUUACAUGACGUUUAAGUUGACACGCAGGUCACAAAUAAAUAAAGACAACUCCUAUGGCUCCUGCCGGUUGUCAUACUCAUCGACAUGCAAGUCGUGAUUCCUAUUACAAGAACAUGAUCAAUCUCAUACAUCACAUAUAUCAUUCAUCACAUCCUCUUUGGCCAUAUCACAUCACAUAGCAUACCCUGCAAAAACAAGUUAGACGUCCUCUAAUUGUUGUUUGCAUGUUUUACGUGGCUGCUAUGGGUUUCUAGCAAGAACGUUUCUUACCUACGCAUGAACCACAACGUGAUAUGUCAAUUGCUAUUUACCCUUCAUAAGGACCCUUUUCAUCGAAUCCGAUCCGACUAAAGUGGGAGAGACAGACACCCGCCAGCCACCUUAUGCAACUAGUGCAUGUUUGUCGGUGGAACCGGUCUCACGUAAGCGUACGUGUAAGGUUGGUCCGGGCCGCUUCAUCCCACGAUGCCGCCGAAUCAAGAUAAGACUAGUAACGGCAAGCAUAUUGAACAAUAUCGACGCCCACAACUACUUUGUGUUCUACUCGUGCAAAGAAUCUACGCAAUAGACCUAGCUCAUGAUGCCACUGUUGGGGAACGUAGCAGAAAUUCAAAAUUUUCCUACGCGUAUCACCAAGAUCUAUCUAUGGAGAGACCAGCAACGAGUAGAAAGGAGAGUGCAUCUACAUACCCUUGUAGAUCGCUAAGCGGAAGCGUUCAAGUGAACGGGGUUGAUGGAGUCGUACUCGUCGUGAUUCAGAUCACCGAUGAUCCUAGUGCCGAACGGACGGCACCUCCGCGUUCAACACACGUACAGCUCGACGAUGUCUCCCACGCCUUGAUCCAGCAAGGAGAGAGGGAGAGGUUGAGGAAGACUCCAUCCAGUAGCAGCACAACGGCGUGGUGGUGGUGGAGGAGCGUGGCAAUCCCGCAGGGCUUCGCCAAGCACCUACGGGAGAGGAGGAGGUGUCACGGGAGGGAGGGAGGCGCCAAGGGCUCAGGUAUGGAUGCCCUCCCUCCCCUCCACUAUAUAUAGGGGCAGGGGAGAGGGGGGAGGCGCAGCCUUGCCCCCUCCUCCAAGGAAGGGGUGCGGCUAAGGAGGGGGGGAGGAGUCCAUCCUCCCCAAGGCACCUCGGAGGUGCCUUCCCCCUUUAGGACUCUCCCCUUUUUCCUUUAUCUUGGCGCAUGGGCCUCUAGGGGCUGGUGCCCUUGGCCCAUGUAGGCCAAGGCGCACCCCCUACAGCCCAUGUGGCCCCCCGGGGCAGGUGGCCCCACCCGGUGGGCCCCCGGGACCCUUCCGGUGGUCCCGGUACAAUACCGAUGACCCCGAAACUUGUCCCGAUGGCCGAAACAGGACUUCCUAUAUAUAAAUCUUUACCUCCGGACCAUUCCGGAACUCCUCGUGACGUCCGGGAUCUCAUCCGGGACUCCGAACAACAUUCGGUAACCACAUACAAGCUUCCUUUAUAAUCCUAGCGUCAUCGAACCUUAAGUGUGUAGACCCUACGGGUUCGGGAGACAUGCAGACAUGACCGAGAUGUUCUCCGGUCAAUAACCAACAGCGGGAUCUGGAUACCCAUGUUGGCUCCCACAUGUUCCACGAUGAUCUCAUCGGAUGAACCACGAUGUCAAGGACUCAAUCGAUCCCGUAUACAAUUCCCUUUGUCUAGCGGUAUGGUACUUGCCCGAGAUUCGAUCGUCGGUAUACCGAUACCUUGUUCAAUCUCGUUACCGGCAAGUCUCUUUACUCGUUCCGUAACACAUCAUCCCGUGAUCAACCCCUUGGUCACAUUGUGCACAUUAUGAUGAUGUCCUACCGAGUGGGCCCAGAGAUACCUCUCCGUUUACAUGGAGUGACAAAUCCCAAUCUCGAUUCGUGCCAACCCAACAGACACUUUCAGAGAUACCCGUAGUGUACCUUUAUAGCCACCCAGUUACGUUGUGACGUUUGGCACACCCAAAGCAUUCCUACGGUAUCCGGGAGUUGCACAAUCUCAUGGUCUAAGGAAAUGAUACUUGACAUUAGAAAAGCUUUAGCAUACGAACUACAUGAUCUUGUGCUAGGCUUAGGAUUGGGUCUUGUCCAUCACAUCAUUCUCCUAAUGAUGUGAUCCCGUUAUCAACGACAUCCAAUGUCCAUGGUCAGGAAACCGUAACCAUCUAUUGAUUAACGAGCUAGUCAACUAGAGGCUUACUAGGGACAUGGUGUUGUCUAUGUAUCCACACAUGUAUCUGAGUUUCCUAUCAAUACAAUUCUAGCAUGGAUAAUAAACGAUUAUCAUGAACAAGGAAAUAUAAUAAUAAUCAAUUUAUUAUUGCCUCUAGGGCAUAUUUCCAACAUGCAGCCCAACCCAACACCGACAAGACACCGACGAGACGACCAUACCGCAGACAAGACAACCGUACCGCGACGACAUCAUGUACAGUGUCACUUGUCCCAUGGCACUAUUUAUGAAGUGACCCAGGGGACAAGCAUGACAUGCACCAUGCCUUAUCCAUGCCCACUACCAAGCUUACAUCCUAAGCUACCCUCUCCUAUAUAAAGGGGCACACAUCCAUCCAUCCAGGGGAUGGACUCUCACGCACACACACAAGCAAUUAGCUAGCUAGCUAUCCAUCCAUCCAUCCACAUGAGCACACAUGCUCACGGCCAUGAGCAUGGCCGGCCACUAGCAUGCCUCAUAUAGGCAUAUACAAAGCCAGAUGCCUGUGGCACUGCUUUCAGAUACAACUCCAGGAGCACUCUGUACCAGAUAUACCAGAUAUACUCAGACAUGCAGGAGUAGGGGUGUUAUCUAUCCGGAGAGCCCCGAACCUGGGUAAACUAGCGUGUGCUACUCGCAUACCCGCUCCCGGUCCUAUCAGCAGCAGUCUUACCCUCACACUAAGCCCUUGUGGCAUCUGUCGACUCGCAAGCCCCCCGUGAGAAUACCACGACAAUACCUGUGUCAACCAAGGAUCAAUCAAAGACUACUUUUACUUGCCCUUUUGGUACUUUUGCUUAUAGACGUAUGCCUUUUGGUUUAUGUAAUGCACCUGCUACCUUUCAAAGAUGCAUGAUGGCUAUAUUCUCUGACUUUUGUGAAAAGAUUUGUGAGGUUUUCAUGGACGAUUUCUCCAUCUAUGGAUCUUCUUUUGAUGAUUGCUUGAGCAAGCUUGAUCGAGUUUUGCAGAGAUGUGAAGGAACUAAUCUUGUCUUGAAUUGGGAAAAGUGCCACUUUAUGGUUAACAAAGGUAUUGUCUUGGGGCAUAAAGUUUCUGAAAGAGGUAUUGAAGUUGAUAAAGCCAAGGUUGAUGCUAUUGAAAAGAUGCCAUGCCCCAAGGAUAUUAAAGGUAUAAGACGUUUCCUUGAUCAUGCCAGAUUUUAUAGGAGGUUCAUUAAGGACUUCUCAAAAAUUUCUCGGCCUCUGACUAAUUUAUUACAAAAAGAUAUACCAUUUGUCUUUGAUGAUGAUUGUGUAGAAGCAUUUGAAAUACUUAAGAAAGCAUUGAUCUCUGCACCUAUUGUUCAGCCACCUGAUUGGAAUUUACCCUUUGAAAUUAUGUGUGAUGCUAGUGAUUAUGCUAUAGGUGUUGUUCUAGGACAAAGAGUUGAUAAGAAAUUAAACGUUAUUCAAUAUGCUAGUAAAACCCUAGACAAUUCUCAAAGAAAUUAUGCUACUACUAAAAAAGAAUUCUUAGCACUUGUAUUUGCUUGUGAUAAGUUCAAACCUUAUGUUGUUGAUUCUAAAGUAACUAUUCACACUAAUCAUGCUGCUAUUAAAUAUCUUAUGGAAAAGAAAGAUGCUAAACCUACACUUAUUAGAUGGGUUCUCUUGCUACAAGAAUUUGAUUUACAUAUUGUUGAUAUAAAGGGAGCUGAGAACCCCGUUGCAGACAACUUGUCUAGGUUAGAAAAUGUGCUUGAUGACCCACUACCUAUUGAUGAUAGCUUUCCUGAUGAGCAAUUAAAUAUCAUAAAUGCUUCUCAUACUGCUCCAUGGUAUGCUGAUUAUGCUAAUUACAUUGUUGCCAAAUUCAUACCACCUAGUUUCACAUACCAGCAAAAGAAAAAGUUCUGCUAUGAUUUGAGGCAUUACUUUUGGGAUGACCCACAUCUUUAUAAAGAAGGAGUAGAUGGCGUUAUUAGACGUUGUGUACCUGAGCAUGAACAGGAACAUAUCCUAUGCAAGUGUCACUCCGAAGCUUAUGGAGGACACCAUGCUGGAGAUAGAACUGCACAUAAGGUAUUGCAAUCUGGUUUUUAUUGGCCUACUCUCUUCAAAGAUGUCCGUAAGUUUGUCUUAUCUUGUGAUGAAUGUCAAAGAAUUGGUAAUAUUAGUAGACGUCAGGAAAUGCCUAUGAAUUAUUCACUUGUUAUUGAACCAUUUGAUGUUUGGGGCUUUGAUUAUAUGGGACCUUUUCCUUGCUCUAAUGGAUAUACACAUAUUUUAGUUGCUGUUGAUUACGUUACUAAGUGGGUAGAAGCUAAUCCAACUAGUAGUGCUGAUCAUAACACCUCUAUUAAGAUGCUUAAAGAAGUUAUUUUUCCAAGAUUUGGAGUCCCUAGAUAUUUAAUGACUGAUGGUGGUUCACAUUUUAUUCUUGGUGCUUUCCGUAAAAUGCUUGCUAAAUAUGAUGUUAAUCAUAGAAUUACAUCUCCUUAUCACCCUCAGUCUAGUGGUCAAGUAGAAUUGAGGAAUAGAGAGCUCUAAUUAAUUUUGCAAAAGACUGUUAAUAGAUCUAGAAAGAAUUGGUCCAAGAAACUUGAUGAUGCAUUAUGGGCCUAUAGAACUGCAUAUAAAAAUCCUAUGGGUAUGUCUCCGUAUAAAAUGGUUUAUGGAAAGGCAUGUCACUUACCUCUCGAACUAGAACACAAGGCAUAUUGGGCUAUUAAAGAACUCAAUUAUGAUUUUAAACUUGCUGGUGAGAAGAGGUUAUUUGAUAUUAGCUCACUCGAUGAAUGGAGAACCCAAGCCUAUGAAAAUGCCAAGUUGUUUAAAGAAAAAGUUAAAAGAUGGCAUGACAAAAGGAUACAGAAGCGUGAGUUUAAUGUAGGUGAUUAUGUAUUGCUAUACAACUCUCGUUUAAGAUUUUUUGCAGGAAAACUUCUCUCUAAAUGGGAAGGUCCUUACAUUAUCGAGGAGGUCUAUCAUUCCGGUGCCAUAAAAAUCAACAAUUUCGAAGGCAAAAAUCCGAAGGUGGUGAACGGUCAAAGAAUUAAACAUUAUAUCUCAGGUAAUCCUAUAAAUGUCGAAACCAAUGUUAUUAAAACCGUAACCCCAGAGGAAUACAUAAGGGACACUUUCGAGAACGUUUCAGACUCCGAAAAGGAAUAGGUAUGUGGUACGGUAAGUAAACCGACUCCAAAACAGUUUUAAGGCAAUAUUUCCCCGUUUUGGAAUAUUUGGAAAAAUAGAAAAAUAAGUAGCAGUCCGGAAAGGACACGAUACCUCCAUGAGGGUGGAGGGCGCGCCCCCUACCUCGUGGGCACCUCGUGUGCUCUCCGAACUCCGUUUUUGUAUAUGACACGUAUUUUGGUCGGUAAAAAUUCAUUAUAUAUUCCCCCGGAGGUUUCGACCCCUUGUAUCAUGCAAAUAUCUCCUGUCUUUGUUUCGAGUUGUCCUGCUGCAGAUUUGAGCAACAUGUCGUCCCAGGAUUCGAAAGGAGAGAGCUAUGUGGCUGAUUACCUUGCAGAUCCUAAAGUCUAUGGGGAUGUGGAGCAUUGUGGUUGGACUACAGAAGAAGAAGAGGACUAUGAACCUAAGGGAAAGGAGGAGACGAGCUCAGAUGAAGAUGAAGUCCCACUACCUCAACCUGGGGACAUGCAUGUGGAGUUCAAAAAGUCAAGCCUUCCUGAUAGAGUAAAGAAACCUAAGAUCAAGUUUAUCCCUUUUCGCCUCUUGCUGGAAAACAAAUAGGAACUAUGGAAAAAGAUACUGAGCCUGGAAUAGGAGAUCGAGGACCUAAGGGACCAAAAUUCUGUCCUCAAAUGCAAAUUAAGGAAGAAGCCUACGCCAUCAACAAAACCACCAUCUUCUUCAACAACAAAGAAGAACUGAGCAUCGGGUAUGGGCACUCCCCUUGGCAACUGCCAAGCUUGGGGGAGUGCCCCGGUAUCGUAUCGCCAUCACUUUUAUCUUUACCAUUUUUCUUAGUUCGGUCCUUUUGGUAAUAUCUUGGUCUAGUAGAAUAAAAGUUCUUAGUGUGAUCUAGUUGUGAGUUUUGCUUUAUGAUCCUUCUAUGUAAUCGAGUCCAUGAGCUAUAUAUAAUAAAGAUUAGUGUUGAGUCAAGGGCUUGAUUCUUUUGCCAUGAUCUUAAGUGAAUAAAAGAAAAGAGAAAGAAAUAAAAAGAAACAAAGAGAUCAUAUGGAUCUCAUGGAUAGUAAUGAGCUCACAUAGAAAGAGUAUGAUGAAUAAAAGUUGUUGAGAGUUGACAAACAUAGUUUUGGUCAUCGUUGCAAUUAAUAGAAAGUAAUAAAGAAAGAGAGGUCUUCACAUAUAGAUAUACUAUCUUGGGCAUCUUUUAUGAUUGUGAGCACUCAUUAAAAUAUGACAUGCUAAAGAGUUUACGUUGGACAAGGAAGACAACGUAAUGGGUUAUGUUUUCUUACAUCUGAAAUAAAUUAUAUUGUCAUGGAUCAUCCAACAUGGUUGAGCUUGCCUUUCCCUCUCAUGCUAGCCAAAUUCAUAGCACCAAGUAGAGAUACUACUUGUGCUUCCAAAUACUCUUAAACCAGUUUUGCCAUGAGAGUCCACCAUACCUACCUAUGGAUUGAGUAAGAUCCUCCAAGUAAGUUGUCAUCGGUGCAAAGCAAUAAAAAUUCCUCUCUAAAUAUGUAUGACUUAUUAGUGUGGGAGAAAAUAAACUUUAUAUGAUCGUGUGAUAUGGAAGAAAUAAAAGUGACAGACUGCAUAAUAAAGGUCCAUAUCACAAGUGGCAAUAUAAGGUGACGUUCUUUCGCAUUAAGAUUUUGUGCAUCCAACCAUAAAAGCGCAUGACAACCUCUGCUUCCCUCUGCGAAGGGCCUAUCUUUUACUUUUAUCUCCUACCUUGCAUAAGAGUCGUGGUGAUUUUCACCCUUCCUUUUUACAUUUUAUCCUUUGGCAAGCACAGUAUGUUGGAAAGAUCCGGGUAUAUAUGGCUAAUUGGAUGUGAGUUUUCAUGAACUAUUAUUGUUGACAUUACCCUUGAGGUAAAACGUUGGGAGGCAAAACUAUAAGCCCCUAUCUUUCUCUGUGUCCGAUUAAAACUCCAUACCCAUAAGUAUUGCGUGAGUGUCAGCAAUUGUGAAAGACUAUAUGAUAGUUGAGUCCGUGGACUUGCUGAAAAGCUCUUAUAUAUUGACUCUUUCCUAUGUUAUGAUAAACUGCAAUUGCUCCAAUGACUGAUAUUAUAGUUUGUUAGUUUUCAAUGAAGUUUACGAUUCAUACUUGAAAUUGUGAUUGAAUUAUUACCCUAGCAUAAGAAAUUAUAUGACAAGAAUUAUAUAAGUUGCUGUUCUAAGAAUGAUCAUGAUGCCCUCAUGUCCGUAUUUUAUUUUUAUCGACACCUCUAUCUCUAAACAUGUGGAUAUAUUUUCCGAUUUCGGCUUUCGCUUGAGGACAAGCGAGGUCUAAGCUUGGGGGAGUUGAUACGUCCAUUUUGCAUCAUGCUUUUAUAUCGAUAUUUAUUGCAUUAUGGGCUGUUAUUACACAUUAUGUCACAAUACUUAUGCCUAUUCUCUCUUAUUUUACAAGGUUUCCAUAAAGAGGGAGAAUGCCGGCAGCUGGGAUUCUGGGCUGGAAAAGGAGCAAAUAUUAGAGACCUAUUCUUUAGAGCUCCAAAAGUCCUGAAACUUCACGGAAGUCAAUUUCAGAAUAUAUAAUAAAUAUUGAGCGCAAGAAGUUCACCAGGGGGGCCACACCCUGCCCACGAGGGUGGGGGGCGCGCCCCCUACCUCGUGGGCCCCCUGGUGGCCCUCCGAUGACCAUCUUAUUCUAUAUGAGGUCUUUCGAUGAGGAAAAAAAUGAGAAGCCAUCUUCUCGGACGAAACUCCGCCGCCACGAGGCGGAACCUUGGCGGAACCAAUCUAGGGCUCUGGUGGAGCUGUUCUGCCGGGGAAACUUCCCUCCGGGAGGGGAAAAUCAUCGCCAUCGUCAUCACCAAUGCUCCUCUCAUCGGGAGAGGGCAAUCUCCAUCAACAUCUGCACCACUACCAUCUCCUCUCAAAACCCCAGUUCAUCUCUUGUAUCCAAUUCUUAUCUCCAAGUCUGGGAUUGGUACCUGUGGGUUGCUAGUAGUGUUAAUUACUCCUUGUAGUUAAUGCUAGUUGGUUUAAUUGGUGGAAGAUCAUAUGUUCCGAUCCUAUAUGCAUAUUAAUACCCCUCUGAUUAUGAACAUGAAUAUGCUUUGUGAGUAGUUACGUUUGUUCCUGAGGACAUGGGAGAAGUCUUGCUAUUAGUAGUCAUGUGAAUUUGGUCUUCGUUCGAUAUUUUGAUGAGAUGUAUGUUGUCCCUCAUCUAGUGGUGUCAUGUGAACAUCGACUACAUGACACUUCACCAUUGUUUGGGCCUAGAGGAAGGCAUUGGGGAGUAAUAAGUAGAUGAUGGGUUGCUAGAGUGACAGAAGCUUAAACCCGAGUUUAUGCUUUGCUUCGUAAGGGGCUGAUUUGGAUCCAUAUGUUUCAUGUUAUGGUUAGGUUUACCUUGAUACUUUUGUUGUAGUUGCGGAUGCUUGCAAUAGAGGUUAAUCAUAAGUGGGAUGCUUGUUCAAGUAAGGACAGUACCCAAGCACCGGUCCACCCAUAUAUCAGAUUAUCAAAGUACCGAACGCGAAUCAUAUGAGCGUGAUGAAAACUAGCUUGACGAUAUUCCCAUGUGUCCUCGGGAGCGCUUUUCUCUAUAUAAGAGUUUUUCUAGGCUUGUCCUUUGCUACAAAAAGGAUUGGGACACCUUGCUGCAUUUAUUUUCUUUUGUUACUUGUUGCUCGUUACAAAUUAUCCUAUCACAAAACUAUCCGUUACCACUUAUUUCAGUACUUGCAGAGAGUACCUUGCUGGAAACCGCUUAUCAUUUCCUUCUGCUCCUCGUUGGGUUCGACACUCUUACUUAUCGAAAGGACUACGAUAGAUCCCCUAUACUUGUGGGUCAUCACCAAUUUCAUGAUGCUCCCCACCGGGAGUGAGUAAUUCCUUCGUAGGCUCGCUGGUCGGUGAGUUGUAUGAGAUUCAUCAUGUAAUCGAGUUAGUUUUGUUAGGGCUUGAUCCCUAAUAUCCACUAUGUUCUUAGAUUGAUGUUGCUAUGACUUUGCCAUGCUUAAUGCUUGUCACUUUGGGCUCGGGUGCCAUUAUUUCACAUCUGAACCGUUUAUGUUAUCACCAUUAUAUCCAUGUCCUAGAUCCGAUCUUGCAAGUUAUAGUCACCUACUACGUGUUAUGAUCCAGCAACCCCGGAGUGAUAAUAGCUGGGAUCACUCCUGGUGAUGACCGUAGUUUGAGGAGUUCAUGUAUUCACCGUGUGUUAAUGCUUUGUUUCGGUUCUUUAUUAAAAGGAGGCAUUAAUAUCCCUUAGUUUCCUAUAUGGACCACGCUGCCAUGGGAGGGUAGGACAAAAGAUGUCAUGCAAGUUUUUCGAUAAACAUGUAUGACUAUUUACGGAAUACAUGCCUACAUUAGAUUGAUGAAUUGGACCUAGUGCCGUAUCUCCCUAGGUUAUAAAUGUCUCAUGAUGAAUAUCAUCCAACAAGUCACCGAUCCAAUGCCUAUGAAUUUAUCUUAUAUUGUUCUUACUAAGUUACUACUGCUAUCAUCACUGUUACACUUGCUACAAAACUAUUGCUAUCACUGUUACCGCUACCGUUACUAUUGCUACUAUUAUCAAAACUAUCAUACUACUUUGCUACUAAUAACUUUGCUACAGAUAAUUAAUCUCCAGGUGUGGUUGAAUUGACAACUCAGCUGCUAAUUCCUUCAAAUAUUCUUUGGCUCCCCUUGUGUCGAAUCUAAAAAUUUGGGUUGAAUACUCUACCCUCGAAAACUGUUGCGAUCCCCUAUACUUGUGGGUUAUCAUACAAUACACGAGAAUAAUAUAUGGCUUGCUCUCGAGUCCAAAAACUGCCAGAUUCAGAAGUUCGUGGUCCAUCAUAGGGACUCAUCUUGAAGAAAGAAUAUCUGUCGGGGUAUUCAUUUUGGUUGAUUAGAGGGCCUUUGGCACCUGCGCCAUCCGAAAAGAUUGGCAUUUUCCCUCUUUGAUUGGGAUACUGCAAUUCUUCUUCAAUAGAAAGAACUUCAUCACUAUAAACUACUAAGCCCGUGUUUCGCUCAGAUGGAGGUGGAUGAGAUGGAUUUCUUUUAGAGGGUCCAUCUUCAGUAUUCGGUGCUGGAGUAGUGACAACAUUCAACUUGAGAGCAUCAUUUUCUUUCGAAACUGAAGGUGGCACAUCCUUAGUUGCCUUGAUAGAUUAUUCUUUGUCAUCCUCUUUUUCUUCUAGAACUUGGGUUGUGACAUGAGCAUAAUCUUAGGGAUCAGAUGGUUGUUCUUUAGGCACUGGAACCUAGAGUUCUUGCUCGUCAAGAGCACUAGCUUUCUAAGAUUCUUGCUCGACUGGCAUAGGAGGAGGAGAUGCACGGAUCUCAUCGUUGUCAGCAGUAGCCUGUUCGGUCACUAGAGGACCCCCUAAGUGUGGUUUUAGUAAUUAAUGUAGCCCCUAAGUGUGGUUUUGGUAAUUAAUGACAAUCUUUAUGGACUAAUGUUUUGGGUGAGAUAUAUUUGAAGGUGUUGUCCAUAGAUGGUGCAUCAAGGAUAUUAGAUGGAAUCAAGGAUGCACUACAAAAAAA